rnacentral:lncRNA from 1 species
CUGGAUCCAACGGGAGCCACGUGUGAGAACUGGAUGCCCAGCCUUUGACACAUUAUCGAGUGAGUUUAGGGAUCUGGGUUUUGUGUUUGCCGUUGAAUUUUGGAAUGAUCUGGAGAAAUUUGGGUUUUAGGGUUCUAAGGAUUUGAGUGAACCGAAAUUGAUUUGGAUGAGCAACUUUUAGUUUCGAUUCGCGGUGGAGCAAGGAUGAAGAGGUGGAGGAGGAAGGAAUGAAAGACUUAACUUCUAAAGUUUCAAGUGCUUAGCAAAUUUCGAUCAAUGUAUGUUUCAAUACUUCAAAAAAAGGGACAUGCAUCAAAGACUUUUAGGUGGAAAAAAUAUGCAUUGGCUGAAAUGGAGAUAAUUAAGAUUUAAAAUGUUAAAAAUUUUCUUUUUGGCUCACUAAUUAGAUGCAAAAGUGAGACUGUGUGAACAAUUUUACACCCAGAAACAUGAACUACACAGAAUCACAACUGAUCGAACAAUGAGAAAGUAUAUAAGACAAUACACUAUCAAUAGGCUAAAACACUCUAUUAAUUGAUCUAACAAUAGGCUAAUAGGUUUAACUAAACCAUUAGAGACUGCAACAAUGAGAAAGUCUGAAGAUUAAAGUUCUAGUUGAAUAUCUUUGAACCCCUAGGUGUUGGAAACACUUUCAGUAAAUUUGUUCAGGAAAAUAUAGAAACUCAUGAUGCAAUUCCAUCGUCUGGGAUAGCAAAUAUUUACCUGGAAUCCAACAUUAAGCUACCAUUUUUCAUAAGUUUAUUCUUUUUGUUAACUACACUGGAAUUUAUAAAACAAUUUUAGAAAAACUCGAGUCUAGAUAAUGAACUUUUGUUCCAGUUUAAAAAAUUUUGACUUGUGUUCUAAGCAACAUUAUGUAUUCGCAUUUCAAUUGUGAAAGGCAGCAAUAAUCCCUGACUGAAGAUAUUAAAAAUCAGAACUUCUUCUCCAAGUUUUCAUUUAGUUUAUUUCACUUGUCCAUCGGAAUUUUAUGCAAAGAAGAUUAAAUAAAGACAAUAGCAUGCCAAAGAUUAAAACCCCUCAUUUCAAACUCUGCUAAUGCACAACUCUGUUUGGUUUUCUUCUCCAGAGACCAGACUGAGUGAGGAGUCAAGUUCUCCAGUGCACCAACAAUCUCCCGUUCGAGCAGCCAUCACCACCUCACUUGCCACUCCGGCGAGGCACCACCUUGCCACCACCCUCAUGUCUCACUCCCUCUCUACCACUCUCCCUAUUUCCCUCACCUCUUUCUCUCGAUACUGUGCUCGCUGCACAGAAACAGCAAGGCAACCACCGUCGCCUUUUUUCACAGCGAACUACGCCGUAACGAAACCAUCACCAUUAAUCUCGCUACCUAGGCGAGUUUUACCACCCUCUGCAAACUGCCUUCAUGCCUUCUAAUUUCAAUUCUUGCAUUUCUUGUAUGGUAUCCAUGUCUUGCACAUUCAAAUACUUAUAUACCGACUGAGAAUAACAAUAUAAAUCCCACACCCACCUCUUUUUCCCCACUUGAAAAAAUCACCUAAAAACAACAUUAACCACCAUAGUUUAAGAAUCCAAACAUGGCUCCAAAUUUCAAUCUAAUUAAUUAAAUUACAGAGGAUUCUACCUACCUCAUGAAAACAAAUAUGUUCAAUUAAAGAAAUUCCCUAACCAAUGCAGUGCAUCUUAAACUACUUCUUAACUAUGUCAGCCAUACCAAUCUAAUAAAAAAUCCAUGUUUCAAUCGAUUCUUAUUAAUUCCAACUCCAAGUAUUUCAGCAUCUAGAUUAUAGAAAAAUCAUAACAAAACAAAACUCAAUCUUGGUGCUAAAGCACACUUCGUUAACCUCACCUUCAUCAAGUCCAUGAUUCCUGCCAUGAGAUCUUUCUCUUAAUCCAGACUUGGCUUCAGAUGCAAGAUCAAAAUAACGAAGCAUUCAGUUCCAUUUCUACGCACAGCAAAUUAAAAAUUGAAAUAUGUUAUAAUUUACUCGGAAUCUUCAUAAGUAUCAUCAAAACAUAUAAACAGAUACAUUUGAAAACUGAUAAAGCUACCUAAUUAAGUUGAAAAGUUGCUAAUUAAGAUCAGGUGCCAGUGCAUCCAGUGAGCCUUCCAAGGAAAGAUGGCCCCAUGGACUUAGACCUUGAAAACUGAGGCUUGUUUUGCCUUGUAAUUGUAUGAUCAGUAGCAUUCUUAUGGAUUGUAAUUGUAUGAUCAGUAGUAUCCUUAUGGAUUCCCAGAUGAAUCCUCAAAAUUUUGUUCUCAUCUGUUAGCUUAUGCACAUGGGACAAAAGCCGCUCAAUUGUUUCACACUUCUCCUUGUUUCUCCUUAUCAACUCAGCUCACUGCUGCAUAUUUCGUCAAUGAGUUUCGAGAUCUUUUCAUGCAACAUUUUAUCUUUUUCAACCACAUUACCAUCAGAUUCUACACCAUGAUCAAUACUCUCUUUUUCCAAAUAUUCUUCAAAAGUACACAAACCAACCUUUUUUAGGACAGACCAGCAUUUGUUUGUUUUGAUGGCUCUGAAUUUGGUUUCCGUUUUCUCUUUGUGGUGGUCUGAUCAAGAUGCAGUCCAAAAACUAAUUUGAGUGCCUACACAGAUGAACAUCGCAUAAAAAUCAAAAAUAAAAAACAGCAGCAGAGAUAAAAAAAAAGACAAUAAUUCUAAAAAAAUUUAAAUCAAAAGCUUAAGACUAACUCACAGGAAGUUCUGUGAGUUAAUUUUUUGGGCAAAAAAAAAUUCUAUUAAUGCAUUCUCAUACAAAAAAAAAUUCUUUAAAUACUGAUUUCAUGCGAUCCAGGAGCUAAGUGCUUAAAUCAGAAAAAUUUCUUUAACCCAGAUACUCUUAUAUUGCAGUGCAGCAAAGUUUUUCUUGAACGCUGACGAAUAUCACUCUGAAAUUAACCCAAAUAUAUCUCAGAGAUUGCAGAGAUUCAGACAAUCAAUAAUAAGAUGGCCGGAAUGUUCUUUAUUCAUUUGUCCUCCAUACUCUACCCUAAUCUUCUUAGGAUUUUAGUUAAACAACUUGCUCCUGUAACAGCUAUAUUAAAGCAUAAAUAUUCAUGAACACUCAUCACCAAUAGCAAAAAGGCAUAAAGUAUUUUUACAUAAAUCUAAAGAUCCCUUUUGUGUCCCAAACCCAGGUCUGUCCUCUCUUUGCCUUCCUCCUUCAGGGCAUAAUUAGAGAUACCCACCAACAGUAUAACCAGAAAAAUUGCAGUGAGAUUUUAAAGUACGAACUUUAUUUGAUAUUGCAAUGAAAUAUAACAAAAUGUAAAAAAAUUGUUAUUUUGGUAAUAGACAGUGGAAUAACAGAAGAAGCCGAACCCAGAAAAAUUAAAAACACAUAAUCACAGUAGAAGAAGCAAACCCAAGAAAAUACAUAAAAUAAAAUAAAAGGGUGCAACUUUUAUUGGCGGGUGAAUGAGUAGACAAUAAAAAAAAGUGCAAACUUUGAGUUCAAAACAAACCUCGUACCAUUGAAAUUUGAGACUUGGAGUCGCCCACGUGAAGGGUUUUAUGAGAAGACAGUAUUAGGCGUGCUGAAGUUAGUUUAUGCUUUUAGUUGUAAAUUCACAUCUAAUACUAGUUGAACACAAAUUUCAGCAAAUACACAGAAGAAAUAGCAAGAAUUCAUUUCAGAAAUGGGAAAAAAUUAAAUUAAAAAUAGAAAACAAAGGGCCGAAAAGCUGCAUACCUAAACACAAUUUCAUAUCUUUUUAUCCUCUUCGAGUACCGAUCCAUUCCAGAGAGAGGGAGAGAGGAGGAAGGAGACGACGAAGGGGGAGAGGAGGGAGAGGAAGGCGAGAGGAGGAAAACGACGGAGGCGAUUUACUGUCUGUGUUGUUCUCGCGGGGACUGCGAGAUGAACGAGGUGAGGAAUGACCAGGUGGCUCUGGGCUCAAGGUCAGUGAAGCAGUGGCGAAGCCAAGAUUUACCGAGGGGAGGGGAGGGGCGAAAUUCAAAAGAGUGCAAAGUUAUCGAAUGGUUGCUUUCACAUUGGAGAGUGUAAAGUUUUGAGUCAAUAUUCAUAGCAAAAGAUAGUUUUGCAUCAAAGUUGUUGUAAGCAAUAAUAUCAAAACUAAUGUAAGAAGCUUAAAUUGGCAAAGAUUAUAUCGUAAAAAAUAUUGUGUGCUAGUCAAAUAGUGGACCUAGCAGACCUAGGCGAUAUCUAAGCAGAAGCCUAGAUGGAUUUAAAUUAUCGUAAAAUAAGUAUUAAACAAUAUUUACAUUGUUUUUAAAAAAUAAUACAAUAUUUAUAGAUAAUGUGAGAGUUUAAGAAAAUACGGUGAGAGUCUUAAAAGAGAAAAUAAAAGGGAAGUGUUAUUGGCACUCCAAAAAUCUCAUUCUACACUCCUCACAAGUGUAUUUUUAUUUCUAAAUAUAGAAAAUUUUGAAUGUAGAAUGAGAUUUUUAGAGUGCCAAUAACAAUUCCCAAAUAAAAAUACAUACACGAACAAAAAUUUGAAAAAAAAGAGAGAAAUAGGUUAAUAAGGACAAUACUUGGGUACUGCCUUUUUUCAAUGACUACAAUGUCACUCAGUAAAGUUAAAACAUGUGUCCUACUUUUCUUAUUAAAACUAGCAACCAAACACCCUCGUGUUUAAGGAAGACGGGCAUCCAAACAACCCAUUUAUUCCUUUCGUCCCUAACAUCUCCGCACGUCUGUAUACCAUGGUUUCCAUUGCUCUCAUCAUCACCACUCCAUUUCAAACAUAAGCACAAACACAAACAAUAAUCCAGCAAUAAUUUACCCAUUUGAAAACCCAAUUUUUUUUUUCAAAUCUGGACAAACAACCAAAUUUCAUUGCGACCCGCCACCAAUCCUUAUCUCCUUCGGUGACCCACCACCAAUCCUUCUCUACUUCGACGACCCACCUCCUCUCACUCUCUUCUACAGAAAGACUAACUCCUUGUCCUUCUCUUGAACGACGGCGAUUGCUGAAGACUGUCUCCCCCACAGCAAUAGAAACCAGAUCACUGGAGCGGGAAUUCUCAUUUCCGACGAGAGCGGAGGGGCUGAACGAGCGCUCUUAGGCAUGUUUUCCGGCGAGGGGAGUGGCGGCCGCCACUCCUUACCCUCACGUAGCUUCGCCACUGUCAGUGAGAAAAUGAGAGACCUAAACGGCUAGGUUAGAAAUGAGAGUAUGGGUUGAGGGGCACAGAAGAUCUGGAAAUGAUUUUUACCUUUCAAUUUGGAAAUGAUUUUUGCUGACCACUGUCAUGUUCCGUGAUUUCUUCCAUCACAAGAAAUCAAGUUGGGCUCAAAUUGUAAUAGUUUGGGUUCAAUUUGCAAUUUACAGCUUUUAAGUGGUAUUUUAUUUUAGGGUUAAUAUCAGUUUACUAUCCUGAAAUUUUGUGAUUUUCAAUAUUUGGUACAUGAAAUUUUUUUCAUCCCAGAGUCAUACCUCAAGACUUAAUUUUGGGACAAUUUCAUACAACCGUUAGAAAUUCUGUUAACUAAUGACGUGGUGUUCACGUGGACAAUAAUUGAGCGCCAUAUGCCAAUAUUGGCCCACUCCAAUAUUAAAAAAAAUUAUAAAAAAAAAAAAAAGAAAACCCAACCUUCCCUCACCCACCCCCUCCCCCGGCACCCUCUCCCUCUGUUCUCUCUUCUGCAAGUCCCAGCACCUCUCGAUUUUCCUUCAAUUUGACCCAUUUGGGACUGGGAGCCAAAUUAGACUAGGAGUUGGAAUUUGAGGUUCCAGGGGAAAUGGGGAAGACCCAGAUGGCAAUCUGAUUCACCAUUGGAGAUAAAACUGAAUCUGGAUAUUUGCACAGUGCAAAGCUCAGAUCCGUUCACAAUCAAGCUAUUACAGAAGAAGACUUGAGGUUUGGACUUGCAGGCGGCAACGUUGGCCAAUGUCCACACGUUCAGGCAGAGGCUGGUGACCUCGACGAGGAUCAGAAGGGAGAGAAUGGCGGCUGCACUGUGCGAAGCGACGCAGCAGCAUGUGAGGAAGAUGAAGAGUGUGAUGAGGAUGACAGCGAGGGUGAUGUGGGCGAGGAGAACAGAGGCGUGGAAUUGGAGAAGAGAGAAGGGAGAAGCGAGGGAAGAGGUGAGGGUUGCAGAAGAGAGAAAUGAUGGAGAUGGUGCGGGGGGGUGAGGGACGGGUGGGAUUUUAUUUUUAUUUUUAUUUUUUUUGUUUUUGUGUUUUUGUUUUUAUUUUUUUAAUUUUUUAAUAUUGAAGUGGGCUCAUAUUGACAUGUGGCACUCAGUUAUUGUCCACGUGGAUGUCACGUCAUCAGUUAACAAAAUUUCUAAUGGAAAACUUAACGGAUGUAUGAAACUGUCCCAAAAUUAAGACUAGAGGUAUGACUCUGAGAUGAAAAAAAAAACUUCAUGCACCAAAUGUUGAAAACCACGAAAUUUCAGGAUAGUAAACAGAGAUUAACCCUUUAUUUUACUAGUUUCUUUGUUAGUGACAAGUGGCAAGACAGACAUGUGUAAUGGGUUGGCUAUAUAGCCACACUCUCUCUCUUCCAACUGUUAGAAUGAAUUUAAUAUAAUUUCACAAAAGCUGAGCUAAUCUCUUUCCUUCUUCCUUCUCUAUUUAUGUAUCUUGCUCGGUCAAGGUUGAACGGUAGUUUGAAGUUGGUGGGUAUCUUGCAAGUUCCCUCAACUUUAGACUAUGGUAAUGGUCUAUCCAUUUAUACCUGUGGGUGGUGGUAGUGCCUAGUGGUGGCUUGCUGUUGUCUAUAAAAUGUGUGGCCUUAUGCUUGUUGUAAAUAAUGGGUAUGUUUGCCCACAUGUGUGUACUAUAUACUCACAAGCUAAAUAGUAAUGUUUUGUAAUUUUCCAUUGAAGUGGCUCUAUAAAUAGAGCACUUCAUUUGUGCAAAAGAGGGAUAUAAGAAGAAGAAAUAAAAGAGAAAUAUAUCUAAUAGCAAUAAUAUACAUUACUUCCUCAGCAACAGCUUGUGUUGGUAUAAUACUCUGCAACUGCUUCGUUCCUGUCCCGAGUAAAGGUUAUCUCUCUAUAAAUUUUGCCUAUUUAUAACACGUUAUCAGCACGAGUCUCUAAGUAUAACCAUGUCUCAUUUACAUUCACUAAACAAUAAAGGAAAUCAUUCUCUCUUUUCUCUCCGCCGAACGAAAAAAAAAAAAAAUGUUUCCUCUAAGGUUUUUCCUGUUCAUCUUCUUCAUCUGCCUCAACUGCGCGGUAUAUCCUCGUGACGAACUAUUUGCUCCAUGCCUGCUCGUAGUUCUCCAACUAGCGGUUACAUACAUCUUUGAUUACUUGUUUGGUUUGGAUAUUGAUUACUAACAUAGUAUUUAUAUUGAUUUUACUGCGAUCCAAGAUGGUGCGGUAUCAUCGCCUAUCUUGGACUGCAGAUCUACUUUUACUGCAAAUUUCAGGUGGAGCGGUAUAAUCGCCCUCCUUGCUCUCCAAAUUUAAAUUUACCUGUUAUUUAAUUUCAUUGCAAUUUUAGGUGGUGCGGUAUAAUCGCCCUCCUUGCUCUCCAAAUUUAAAUUUACCUGUUAUUUAAUUUCAUUGCAAUUUUAGGUGGUGCGGUAUAAUCGUCCACCCUGCUUUGCAUAUUUAAAUUUUAUCGCAAUUUUAGGUGGUGCGGUAUAAUCGUCCACCCUGCUUUGCAUAUUUAAAUUUUAUCGCAAUUUUAGGUGGUGCAGUAUAAUCGUCCACCUUGCUCUACAUAUUUAAAUUUUCCUGCUGUUUAAAGUAGUGCGGAAUAAUCACCCAUCCUAUACUUAUUUCGAUGAGAAUGGUGCGGUACAAUUGCCCUUCUCAUUAAUUGUGUAAAUCUCGAGCCUGAAGUUUCGAGUACUUAUCAUUUUGGCCUGAAGAUCAAAAAUUUGUAAGAACCAGAAGUUCUAACAAUAUAUUUCUCCAGUACACAUAUUACUGCAAGUUCUUACACACCUCAUUUUUCUUUCAGAAAAGAAAAUGGCAAACUUGGCAAAGCUUGAUUUUGCUGCCCUGGACAUUACUGGAAAGAAUUACCGUACAUGGGUACUGGAUACCAAGAUCCAUCUGGAAGCAGCAAAUCUUGGAGAAACCAUCAAGAAAGAGAGCAGCUCAUCCUCUCAAGAUCGGGCAAAGGCCAUGAUUUUUAUUCGUCGCCAUCUUGAUGAGGCACUAAAGAGCGAGUACUUAACGGUUAAAGAUCCGUUAGCCCUUUGGAAUGCCUUGAAAAGCAGAUACAAUCACCAGACAACGGUGAUUCUUCCAAAAGCUCGCUAUGACUCGACUCACCUAAGGAUCCAGGAUUUCAAAUCAGUGGCUGAGUACAAUUCGGCGUUGUUCAGAAUUACCUCUCAGAUGAAACUCUGUGGGGAUACUAUCACUGAGGAGAUGUUAUUGGAAAAGACUUUCAGCACAUUCCACGCCUCUAACAUGGUACUGCAACAGCAGUAUAAAGCGCGAGGCUUCACUGAAUACAACCAGCUGAUAUCUGUGCUCCUGGUAGCUGAACAGAACAAUGAGCUUCUCAUGAAAAACCAUAAUUCCCGACCUACUGGAUCAGCACCGUUCCCAGAAGUGAAUGUUGCUUCCCUUGAAAGGAAUACCAUAUCCUCCCGUGGCAAUAAUUACAAACGAGGAUGUGGCCACAAGCAAGGUCGGUGGAAAGGGAAAAGCAAGAACCAUGGUGUCCAGUUUCACAACCAGGUUCCAAGGUAUAAUCCAGGCCCGAGCUUUAAAAAUACCAAUCGCCAGAAAGGAAAAGCUCAUGUGAACACUCCUAGAAAUCAUGAAGGAGGUUGCCAUAGGUGUGGUGGCAACGGACAUUGGGCGCGUACUUGUCGCACCCCAAAGCAUCUGGUGGAACUAUAUCAAGCCUCCUUCAAGGAGAAGGGUGUCGAGAUCAAUUUCCUUGACCAGGCUAAACCAAUGGAAACCCCUGAUCCAGUGACCAAUUUAUCAGGACAAUUAAACACAACCCACCUGGAUGCUACAGACUUUAUUAAUGAAAGAGGGAAUGAAGUUUAUGGGUCCGAUUGAAUUAUUUAUGUUUAAUGUACUCAUGUUUUUUGUACCUGUGGUUUAAUGCUCGCAUUUUCAAUUCAAUAAAAGUAGUAUUCCAGUAUGAAUAAACUGCUUUUUCUUUACUCAGAGAUCAUGGAUAAAAAUUAUGGUUAUUCUCAAAACAAGAUCAAUGGCGGAGACUUUUGUCUUGCAGAUAGCGCAACCACGCAUUCAAUACUUCGAGAUCGAAAGUAUUUCUCGAAUUUGGUACUUGCAAAAGUAAAGGUAACAACAAUAUCAGGACCAUCAGAUGUAAUUGAAGGCUCAGGAAAAGCCCAGAUUAUGUUACCAAAUGGAACAAUAUUGUCUAUAAUGAAUGCAUUAUAUGCUACUCGGUCCAUUCGAAAUUUGUUGAGUUUUAAAGACAUACGUCUAAAUGGAUACCACCUUGAAACGAAAAUUGUAGAAAAUGUGGAAUAUUUAUGCAUUACCUCCAAUGAUACCCAGAAGCGUAUAUUGGAGAAGUUGCAUGGUUUAUCGAGUGGAUUGUAUUGUACAUACAUAAAGACAGUUGAGGCAUAUACUGUCAUGAACCAGAAGUUCAUUGAUUCAAAGGUUUACAUGCUUUGGCAUGACCGUCUAGGUCAUCCAGGAUCUACCAUGAUGCGUAGAAUCAUUACCAACUCUAAUGGACAUCCAUUACUGAGCAGACACAUUAAUGUCUCGAAUGAUAAACCUUGCAAGGCUUGUUCCCAAGGGAAGUUGGUAAUUAGACCAUCACAACUAAAGGUUGAUGAUGAAUCCCCAUCAUUUUUGCAAAGAAUUCAAAGGGAUAUUUGUGGACCUAUUCAACCACCUUGUGAACCAUUUCGAUAUUUUAUGGUUUUGGUUGAUGCAUCUACCCGAUGGUCACAUGUUUGCCUAUUGUCUACUCGAAAUGUAGCUUUUGCAAGACUUCUUGCUUAGAUAAUUAAGUUGCGAGCACAGUUCCCAGAUCAUCCCAUUAAGUCCAUUCGACUUGAUAACGCUGGUGAAUUUACGUCUCAAACCUUUGAUGAUUACUGUAUGGCAUUGGGCAUUGAUGUUGAACACCCUAUUCCUCAUGUCCAUACUCAAAAUGGUUUAGCAGAAGCAUUGAUCAAGCGGCUUCAAUUAAUAGUCCGCACUCUGCUUAUGAAAACCAAAUUGCCAGUUUCUGCAUGGGGACAUGCCAUUCUACAUGCUGCAUCAUUGGUUCGAUUGAGACCUAUAGCCAACCACCAAUACUCCUCAAUACAACUCAUGUUUGGACAUCAGCCAAACAUUUCACAUUUACGAGUUUUUGGUUGUGCUGUUUAUGUGCCUAUUGCACCCCCGCAACGCACUAAAAUGGGACCUCAGCGUAGACUGGGAAUUUAUGUGGGUUUUGAUUCACCAUCUAUUAUUAGAUAUUUGGAACCCUUGACAGGUGAUAUAUUUACAGCUCGUUUUGCUGAUUGUCAUUUUGAUGAGACAGUCUUCCCAUCGUUAGGGGGAGAAAAGACCGUUCCAGAAGAACGGAAAGAGCUGACAUGGGUUGUUCCCACCUUAUCUCAUUUUGAUCCUCGAACCCUUCAAUGUGAAAAUGAAGUGAAAAGGAUCGUUCAUCUUCAAAGCAUUGCCAAUCAAAUGCCAGAUGCAUUUAAUGACGUUAUGAAAGUGACAAAAUCGCAUAUACCAGCUGCAAAUGCACCUGCCAGAAUUGAUGUCCCUGUUGGACAAAAUAAAGUGGCAGCGAAUGAUUCAUCUGGUGCACGCCUGAAGCGUGGUAGACCACCAGGUUCAAAAGAUUCAGCCCCUCGGAAGAGAAAGACGAGAGCACAACUGAAUCCAAAUGAAAUCAUUCAGGAAGAGAGAGUAAAUGACAAAUCCACAAUUCAUGACUCUGGACUUCCAGAAGAAGAAAAUGGCCCUGAAGAGACAGAAGUACAUGAAAGCAAAGAAAUCUCCAUAAACUAUGCAUGUACUAAUGAAUUGUGGGAUCGGAAUGAAAUAAUCAUUGACGAUAUGUUUGCAUUCGCAGUAGCCACUGAAAUCAUAUUAAGUGAUGAUAUUGAGCCCCGCUCUGUUGAUGAAUGCAAACAGAGACAAGAUUGGCCUAAGUGGAAAGAUGCAAUCCAGGCAGAAUUAAAUUCCUUGGAAAGGCGAAGUGUUUUUGGACCAGUAGUCCAAACCCCAACUGAUGUAAACCCCGUAGGUUACAAAUGGGUAUUUACAAGGAAACGCAAUGAGAAAAACGAGAUUGCUAGAUACAAAGCACGACUCGUUGCACAAGGCUUUUCACAAAGACCUGGAAUUGAUUAUGAGGAGACAUACUCUCCUGUAAUGGACACAAUUACGUUCUGUUACUUAAUAAGUUUGGUGAUUUCAGAAAAACUUGACAUGCGACUUAUGGAUGUCAUCACCGCGUAUCUAUAUGGAGAAUUAGAUACUGACAUAUUCAUGAAAGUCCCAGAAGGACUUAAGUUGCCUGAAGCAACAAACAAACCAUGGGGUAUGUUCUCAAUCAAAUUAAGGCGAUCACUAUAUGGGCUGAAACAAUCUGGGCGAAUGUGGUAUAAUCGUCUCAGUGAGUAUUUGAUUAAAGAAGGAUAUAUCAACAAUGUCAUCUGCCCUUGUGUGUUCAUUAAGAAAUCCAACUCUGGAUUUGCUAUAGUGGCAGUAUAUGUUGAUGAUAUGAACUUAGUUGGGACUCCUGAAGAGCUCCAUAAAACUGCUGAAUAUCUGAAAAGCGAAUUUGAAAUGAAAGACCUUGGGAAAACCAAAUAUUGUCUAGGCCUGCAGAUCGAGCAUUGUGUUAGUGGAAUUUUGGUCCAUCAAUCAGCUUACAUUGAAAAAAUACUGAAGCGAUUUGGCAUGGACAAGGCUUAUCCACUUAGCACCCCAAUGGUCGUUCGUUCUUUAGACAUUAAGAAAGAUCCAUUCCGUCCAAAGGAAGAUGAUGAACUGGUCCUUGGUCCAGAAGUACCAUAUUUGAGCGUAAUAGGUGCUUUAUUGUAUUUAGCACAAUGUACUAGACCAGAUAUAGCUUUUUCAGUUAACUUGUUAGCCAGGUACAGCUCUGCUCCAACAAUUCGUCAUUGGAAGGGAGUCAAAGAUGUUCUACGAUACCUUCGUGGGACAACAGAUAUGGGUCUCUUCUAAUCAGACAAGCCCACAAAUGAACAAAUCCUUGUUGGAUACGCAGAUGCUGGUUUUCUCUCCGAUCCGCAUAAAGCCCGCUCACAAAAUGGAUAUGUGUUCACUAAUGGAGAUACUGCAAUUUCAUGGCGAUCAACGAAGCAAACGCUAGUUGCAACAUUUUCCAAUCAUUCGGAAAUAAUUGCUCUACAUAAAGCAAGUCGUGAAUGUUCUUGGUUAAGAUCAAUGAUCCAUCACAUCUGGAAUUCAUGUGGUCUACCUUCAAAGACAGACACUCCAACUGUCAUCCAUGAAGAUAAUGCAGCCUGUGUCGCCCAGAUGAAGGAAGGAUUUAUCAAAGGUGAUAAGACUAAACACAUAUCUCCAAGAUUUUUCCGCGCACAUGAGCUUCAGAAGGCUAAAGUUAUUGAAGUCAGACAAAUCCGUUCCAAUGAAAAUUUAGCAGACUUGUUCACCAAAUCUCUACCAAAGUGCACAUUUCAGAAGUUGGUACAGGGAAUCGGAUUACGUCGGCUUACGGAUUUGAAGAAUGCGGAAUCAGGGGGAGAUACAAUUCAGGGGGAGCAUCCAUGAUACAUGCAUGUUGUACUCUUUUUCCUUCGCUUAGGACUUUUCCCACUGGGUUUUUCCUAUCAAGGUUUUAACGAGGCAACCUAAGCAUGCUCAACACCAUCCGGGUAAAGUUGUACUCUUUUUCCUUCGCUAUGGUUUUUUCCCACAGGGUUUUUCCAAGCAAGGUUUUAAUGAGGCAACUGAUGUUGAUAUGUGGGCAUCCAAGGGGGAGUGUUGUAAAUAAUGGGUAUGUUUGCCCACAUGUGUGUACUAUAUACUCACAAGCUAAAUAGUAAUGUUUUGUAAUUUUCCAUUGAAGUGGCUCUAUAAAUAGAGCACUUCAUUUGUGCAAAAGAGGGAUAUAAGAAGAAGAAAUAAAAGAGAAAUAUAUCUAAUAGCAAUAAUAUACAUUACUUCCUCAGCAACAGCUUGUGUUGGUAUAAUACUCUGCAACUGCUUCGUUCCUGUCCCGAGUAAAGGUUAUCUCUCUAUAAAUUUUGCCUAUUUAUAACUAUGCUUUGUUUAUUGGAUAUUUAUAAUAUUAUACAAUUCCAAUUACUUUAGUCUAAAGUAGGAAAUCCAAUUGCAUUGUUCAACUUCAACUGAACAGUGUUUUGGACCGAAUUUCACUUUAUUUACAAAAUUUCCACCACCCCUAUCUGUCGUUCAAAUUUUGCUUAUAUCUUUGUGCAGUGUGUCUGUUGUAUUAUCUGGUCACAGAUACCUUAGUUCAGUAAUUUGAGAAGCAUGGGGAGACAAUAGACUAAUCAAAGAGAUGCAUGUGAUCAACGAUAAACAAGUAAGCAUCAUCCUCUUCCUUCUUUUGUUAUGAUUCGUUGUAUAGAGAAUUGAGAAAAAAGUUGAAGACAAUUCCGCGCUUUUGAGUUAUAGCAAUUAAUAUCUAAAAUGACAUUGAUUAGUUCACUUAAGUGUUGAAUCCUUCGUUAGUUUAUCUAUGGUGUGUGCUUGAGAAUGAAAGCAAUGGACAUUAUAUAGAAUUGAUGUUCCUUUUAAUGUCAGUAAAGAAAGGAGUUGUUCCUUUAUUAGCAAUUAUAUGAAGUAGGCAUAUUAUACAAUGUCUACAAUCGACUAUUUUACUUUUUGUAUAUAAGUAAAAAUGUUGAUCGAAAGCCACAAAAACUACCUAAGGGCCGAAGAACUGUUUAUGUUAGAAGAACAGAAUAUGGUGUAAAGCUUAAAUUUUGGGCACUUCAAAAUAUGUUUUUUUUUUCAAUUAUAAUAACUUGCAUGAAAAUUCAAUUGGGUUUGUUCUAGUCUCCAAGAAUUUUGCUUUGUUUGGUUACUAAUUAAUUUAUGUGGUGGGAGUUUAGUUUUUCCUUUUCUGCCUAUGUAUAUAUAAUUCGAAAUGGACCGUUCAAUUUGCUAUAUAUAAAUUUGUAAUCGAAAAGCUCGAAAAAGAGGUGAAUAAAAAACAAUGGUGGUAGAGUGAUGGAGUUGAGGAGUUGAGAGUUUACAGGGUUUACUUGAAUUUUUGUAUGAUGUCCCUGGUAUGUUAGAUCAUUGAAACUAACUGUCUGGUUGAUUAAUCACUAAUUUGAAAUAUUUAAAGUGUAACUUUUCUUUAAUUCACUUUUCUUUUGUAUUUUCAUUGGAGUGCAGAUAAAAGAUAUUUCUUUUAUCUUUUUCAACCACAAACUUUCCGAUGUCUUUUGAGAGUGGUCCAACUAGAGUAUUGGAUGACAAGUUUAGGUUUAAUAUAUACUUGAGUUCCCACAAGGAAGAUGGUAUUUUAGAAGUUAACAAAUUGGACCCUAACGAUAGACUUCUUAGAGAUACGUCCUCCCAGUUUGUAGCCUUUGUAUUGAAGUUGGAAUUGCUUCGCUCAACUGAUUAUUUCCCAGGCUUAAAUCUAUCAAGUUGUUGAAGUUACCAAUAUCAACGAGAAUGUUACCGUUGAUGUUGGAAAUGCUUAAAUCAAUAGUUAGGAGUGACGUAAAGAUAUGCUAACAGUUUGGGUCUUUUACGACUUGAAAUAUACGGCGUACAGACCGGCAUGCCUUAAAUGAUAUUAUUCAUGACAUUCAUAAAGUUCAUAUCGUAAUACUUACGCAUAAUCUCGUAUUCACAACAUCACUUUUAUGCAAGUAGUUAAAUAAAAAUAUUUAUGACUUAAGCGUUGUCUAUCGUAUCUCACAAUCCCAUAGUAUUCAAUCUACAACUUUCAUUUACCUCACAUAUCUCAGGUUUUGUCUAUCUCUCUCUGCCUCUCUCACGCAGUCUCUCUCUCGACUUUCACUCUCUCAGAUUCGUAUCUCCCAAUCCCAGCGGCCUCGAUAUCUCUCUCGUCUCCAACCACGAUACCACCAUCAUCUCCUGUCAACUCUCGACUCUCUCCCACCACCUGCACUUGACGGUCCUGACUCCUGACCACCAUCUAUGUUCCAAAUAAGGUAUGCAGUUAGGGAUUUAAGAUUGAAAUAAAUUGGGGUUUUCUAGAUUUAGGGAUUUGGAUUUGGUCAAUUCUGGAAUCAAAUGUUAAUUAUAAUUUGUUUAAUUUUGGCAAUUUGAGUGCAAAAUUAGGGUUUUGUUAUUUCAAGUGUUGACAGUAAGACCCUUUGUCAAUUAGUAACCACUUAGUGCUUGUUUUCGAUCUGUCAUUGAAUACGAAAUCACGACUUUUAAUUUUUCAUUUUACAAGUCAUCAUAAGGAAUAGAUAAUUCUAGAAUUAUAGUGCAAACUCUUGAUUUUCAGUUUCAGACUUGGUUUUGUUUCAGAAUUCUGAGGAAUUUUAAUCAUGGUGUUGGGGAUUUGUUAAUUUUGCUCUCUCGCUCUCUCUCGCUCUCUCUCUCUCUCUCUCUCUAUGAUUUGGUUGGGAUUGCAGAGUGACUUGGGUUUCUUUGUAUGCAUGUCCCGGACCUCCAGGUCACAUGGGGUACUUAGCAAGGUUUUACUUUUGCAAAGGAGAUGGAGAUGUUACAGACUUACAGUGAUACUGCAAUCCAAAUAAUCUGUUUUGAAAAUCCAAAUAAUCUGUGAGUAUGUUGUAGCAGUAGAAUAACACUGUGGGGCUUAGCCUAGUACUUAAAUUAUUGACUUUGUUGCUUAGGAUAAUUUGAUUGAGUUCCUUUGGUAUGAUUUAUAUUCACUUAUUUAUUCUAUUUAUUUUUACUAUUUUUCAGGUAGCAUUCAAGUCUUUGGUGAAAUUUUAAACGAAGAGGUUGCAAAUGCAGCGGUAAUGAGUGGAAAAGUUUAUACUUACUUUUAUUAGUAUUGAAGUCUUUAUCAAUUUCUAAGUUAACAUUUUGUUUUGACUAGCUCGUAACUUACCAAUCGAAUCCAUCCCCUUUGACUAGCUAGAGUAUCUUGGUUGGGAACUCUAUCUGUUCCCAGCGCCUAGUAUCCAAAGAUGAAGUUGAGACGGGUUGGGAACUCUCUCUUUCUCUCCUUUUGUUUUAGUUCCCAAGAAAGUUGAUUGGAUUGAAGAAAAUGGAACAAAAAGAAAUGAAAAAAAAAUUGAAAUUUGUUGGUGCUUAUGUUGAUGUUGAAUUUGUAAUAUAUUAAGACCCAAAAACUAGAUAAAUGGCUAACUUUGAUGUAAAUUGAUAACAGCAAGCCACUAGGUCAAAAAACAGUGAGUCUUACCUUAGAGCUUUUGGGGAUAUCAUAAUUGAUAACCAUAUCCACCGAUCGAAUAUCCAAUCUUGUACUUGCCGCAUCAAUUCUUCAUGCAUGAAAUGUUAAGAGACUCAUAAAUUUAUCUACUUGCAAGUAUAUGAUUUUUAUGCAGGUUAUAGGAAACAAUAAAAUCGUAAAGGCAUAAUUUGUGUAUAUUUUAGUCAUUUGAUACAUGUAUGAGUGUAAAACAAUAAAACUGUGAAGGCAUAAUUUGGGAUAUAGGUUUGUAUGAUAGUGAUUAGUUUUUCUUUCAGUAUCACUUUUCUUACUUGAGAUUAAAUGUGUAUUUCUACAUAUAGCAGCACAAUAGAUUUUUUUUUGCUCCAUGUGCUUAUGUCUAUGCAGAUAGAGAUAGCAAUUAGUGUGGUUCAAGCAUUAGGAGCAGUAUUUCAUUCUCAAAGGACUUUGUUUGAAGGUGUUCAAUGAAAAGUGAAGUCUUUCAAGUGACAAAUUUCUUUGUUAUUAGAGGCCUAUUUGGUAUUUCAUGUGUAGUUUGAUAUUGACCUUAGCUUUGUUCAACUUGUAAUACAUUUUGACAAUAUGAUUAUUUAUGAUUAUGGUAAAUGUGUAAUUUUGUCAAUUCUUAUAUAUAUAUAUAUAUUAAUUGUUGAUGUUAGUCUCCAUUUAUGAUGUACGACGUAUGCCGUAAUUGCUUUCACAGUAUUACGACACUAAACAAACGUUGUAUCAAAUAUAAAUUACGGCACACAGGUAUGCCGUAAUUGUUUUUGCAGUAUUACGACACUUCAUUAACACCGUAUCUAAUACCAAUUAAGGCGCGCAAGGCAUGCCUUAAAGAGUAUUUACAACGUGUUUUGCUUAAAUUAUUCACGGCUACUAUAGAACGUCGUAUUUGACAAAACAUCUUUUAUGACAUGGGUUUUUACUGCUUGGGGGCUCACGCUGUGAAUAAUCGUUUACGGCGCUCUUUGUGCACCACAAAAGACUAGUUAUGUUGUAGUGAUAUUAUGUAACAAAUGCUCAAUUUUCUUUUGCACUCUUUUAUGAAUUUCAUUUGGAUGGGAAUGGUUACGUGACAUUACUUGUUACACCAGAAAAUGUCUGGUUUUGGUAUAAAGACUUAACUGCAAAAAGGCAUCUGAAAGGUUUCGUUUAGCUACUAAGAAAGUUUGGGAGGGGUCAAACGUCUUAGGUUGAGAUUACAUAUACAAGGGUGUUAGAUUUACAUAAUGGGUUUACAUAAUGAGUUGUUGAUGACUACAUACACAUUGAGAAUUUAGCUUAUGUCUUUGUGUCCGAUGAGGGAGUGGUUUUUUUUUUUUUUUUUUUUUUUUUUUUUUUUUUUCGGGUGUCAUUCCAUUUUAAUCUUAGUUCCAUUCAAAUGAAGAUAUUUAAAGAACCUAACGUAAAACAUCUGUACAAGCAAAACACAUCUUAGCAACGCCAAUAAAAUUAUCUACGAGAGUUGAUCCAAUCCAGGCAAGCCGCACGGUGGGUUAUUGAGGACAAAGCUGCCGAGAUCCAUAUUAAAACUCCAAUUUGGCAACUGAUGAGCAACACAAUUCCGCUCCCUAGAUACAUGCUUCAUGCUUCAGCUCAGCUCACAUCUAACCAAUUGACUCAUCAAUGUUUUGCAUAUGCUCACAAUUGUAUCAAGAGGAUAAUAACUAUCAACCAAAUUUUGUUAGAACAAAGUGACAGCAAACACCUCUGUCAAUAAAAUCUCCUUAUCCCAAAUGGACGCAGAUUGUCUGCCCUCCUAGUUGUGGUGCCGUUCCAUGCCCUCCUAUUUUGUGCGGUUACGGUUAAACCACAUCAACAUUUUAUAUUAAUUUUUUAAUGAGAUAAUAAGACAAAAAAUAAUAAAAAUAUAAAAUAUUGACGUGGCUUAACCGUGGCUGCACAAAAUAGGAGGGCAUGGAAGGGCACCACAACUAGGAGGGCAGACAAUCCUUGUCCAUCCCAAAUUGGCUGAGAACUCUACCCACACCAAUAUUGAACCAUCAACGUCAAGCUUUCACCCAGUUCUCGACUUUUUGCGUGUUUACUACAAGUAUGGAAUCUGAAGGGCUAGUUGAUUCGUAGCUCAAUACUUGAAAAUUAGGAGUCAAAUCAAAAUGUUUAUUUUUUAUUGGUAACACAUUUGCAAAUUUGGUUUAAAAAUUAAGUUACCUGAUAUUAUCCUAAUAUAAAUAUCUUUUGACAAAUAAAAAAUGCAUACAAAGAUAAAUUUGAGUGGUGAUAUCCACACACUCAUUUUUACCUUUCACACACCUUUAUUAUUUCCCGGGCUGUUGAACAAUUGAAACAAUCAAAUAAUAUAAAUUAAUAAGUGAUGUGUGAAAAAUAGAAAUAAGCGUGUGAAGAGCCACAAAACUAAACAGAUACCCAAAAAUACCACAACACACAAAGUCAGUCGUUACAUUUCAGUUGCAAAUGAAAAUUAUGAACACUGGGAUUUGCUCUCUCUAUCGCUGAGAGAUUCUCUGUUAUUGAUGGCAAUGGCGGACAAUGGCAGUCGUCUGCAAAUGCAUAACAUCGAGGAGGAGCUUCUUCUGCUUCAGAGCAGUCAGUUUCGACGACAAGCCCGACCGCCGAAACCUCCUCCGAAACGUUUUGACCCUUCCCGUCUUUAAAAAAGGCCUCUUCACUUGCUGCAGCCCAUCCCUUGCCGGAAGCAGUAUUCUCAGGUUUAUCUCACACAAUUACGGGUUUUUCCCGUUUUCUUUUGAGUUGCACGGUCUGUUUGGUUCCCCAGAAAACGCAGGAAAUUUUUGAAAGUUUUUGAGCUUCUGUAGGGUUUACUAAAGUGAAUACUUGACUAGGUUCAGUUGGGUUGCUGAUAAAUUCAAACAACGAAAUUUAGACGCGAAUGCUUUUAAUUGAUUUGAAGAGAAGUUUCUGAGCUAGUUUAUUGCUUUUGAAUGUUCAAAUUGGAUCCUAUAAAUGUGUCUGUGUGAUAAUUAGAUGAUUUGUUGCUUGCAGUAUGGAAGCACGAGAGAAUUCCAUAUAUGUGAUGAUGCCAGUUGAUGCCUUUUGCAUUGAUGGUACAGGGCGUCCAAGGAUUAGGAAGUAAGGUCAUCUCCAACCGAAGGGUCCAGAGGGCCAGAGGGCCGAAAAUAGCCCUAAAACCGUCUCCAACCGAGGGCUAGGCCAGAGGGCUCUGGAAUCUGGGAGGGCCCCACGGGAUCGGAGAGGGCUGGAGGGCUGGCUGCUUUCGGCCAGCCAGCCAGCCCCGGGCUGGCUUAUUUUUUUUUUAAUAGUUCUACUAUUAGUGUCGGUUAUAACCGACACUAAUAGUUUGAAUGUUUUUUAAUACAACGGCUAGUAGCCGUUGUAUUAUUAGGCCUUUUUUUUUUUUUUUUUUUUUUUAACUUUUUAUUUUCCCUUUUUUUUUCCUUUUCAUAUUAAUCAAAUUUUGUUUCAUAUUUUUUUUCAAUUCUAUUUUACAAAAUUUGUUUCAAUUUUUUUUUAAAUUCUAUUUUUUUCCUAUAACUUCUAUUUUACAAAAUUUGAUUCAUAUUUUAUUUCCUAUAACUUCUAUUUUACAAAAUUUGAUUCAAAAUUUGUUGACGUCACCUAGCCGUUAGAUUUGAAUUUAAAUUGUAGUUUUUAAAUAAUAAAUUAUGUUUGGCCCUAUGGCCCUUUGGCCCUCGGUUGGAGACGGUUUUUUGUGACAGGGCUAAAACGAGCCCUCUGGCCCUCUGGCCCUCGGUUGGAGACGGAGGCAAAUAUGGCCAUGUACUGUUUAUUAAAAUAUUAAUAUCUUGGAGAAUCUUGGAGGGCCAGAGGGCUAAAACGAGCCCUCUGGCCAGUCAUCGGUUGGAGAUGGCCUAAGUUUUAUUAUGACUUUAUGUUGAUGAGGCUAUGAUGCAUUUUCAUUCUUAAUUUAAUUGUUGUACUCUUUUAAACGACAGAAUAUGAUUAGCUACAAGGUUGCAGCUAACUAUUUUGAUCUGUUCCCAAUUCAAGUUAUGUACGCGUACAUUUCAAAAUGGUUCUAAAUAAAAUUUAUUUUUAAUUUAGUUUCCUUUCAAGUGAGACAGAAUCUCCUUAUAUAUUGCACGAUUUAUUGUUGUUUCAGAAUCAAGGCCUUAACUGUAGCUCUGAAAGCACUCAAGUUGGCUGGUGUCCACGGAAUUGCAGUUGAGGUUUGGUGGCCUCUUGCAUAUGAUUGGUCUCUAUAUGAAGGGCUUUUCAAACUGAUUUCUGACUCAGGUUUGAAGUUGCAUGUUGCCUUGUCUUUUCACUCAAACGUUAACUCUUCUUCUAGCAGAAAAGGGGGUGUAACUCUUCCGCUUUGGAUCAUAGAGGUUUGUUUUCUCGGCAAUUUUGAAAUCCCAUUUGACUGUUUGGCCUUUUAUUGGUAAAAGUGCACAUGGCUGUACUGGAAUGAUUAAUUUACCCAGUCAUACUCUUUUGUGACAACAUAAGAAACAUAACCCAUUUGGAUGACUAGAGAUAGUAUCAACUUUUCUUCAGUUUCCUGCUCUGCAACAUGCUAUGGUCCUGUGUUCCCCAUUAGCAUACUUGAUUUUAGCUUUGAUGUGCAUAAAAAGUUUAUCUUUGCAAAGGGAUGUAACAGAAAAAUGAUAGUUUGGCCUUCAUUACAUGCCCAUCAGUUUGAAUCCUGAAUUUAGAUAAAGAAGUUGACCUCUUCUGUUUUUUUUUUCCUCCCAGAUUGGUGAUCAGAAUAAGCAUAUAUAUUAUCGGGACCAAAAUGGAUUUUCCAAUGAUGAUUAUCUUACACUUGGAGUUGACCAUGUUCCUCUCUUUUGCGGCCGGACUGCUCUCCAAUGUUAUGAAGAUUUCUUGUCAGGUUUUGCUAAGAAAUUUGAAUCCUUAAUUGGAACUGUGAUAGAAGAAAUUGGUGUUGGUCUUGGAUGUUACUGUUACACUAGAACCACAAGUAUGAAGCCAGUCCAAUGAUUUCUUAUGCAACAUUGUUACAUUGCUCACACUGAUAUCCUGCACAUCCUUUUGGUGAUGGUAGAUGGAAGUUUCCUGGAAUCGGUGAAUUCUAAUGCUAUGACAAGCGCAUGUAUGCUAAAAAUCUUUCAUUCCUGUGACAGAAAUUUGGUUGCUAUUGAACUUUUCCUAUUUACAACGUUGUUCCUUUUAGGAUGGGCGACCUAAAGAUGGCUGUAGGCAAGGAAGGAAAGCCUCAGUGGGGAGGGAAGGGACCACAAAAUGCUGGCUGUUACAACAGUCUCCCAUCUGAAGUUCCAUUCUUUGAAGAGGGAGAGGAAAGCAUUCUUUCUGAUUAUGGGUGUUUUUUCCUUGUAUGAAACUGAUGGAAGCAUCUUGCUUUAUUAUUUCCCAUGAAAAAUUUCUGCAUAACUGAAGCCUAGUGUAAAUUGCAUGAAAUCAUUGUUUGUAUUUCAUCCUCGAACUACCACAUUGUUUCUUUAGCCAGGAAACACUUCUGUGUACGUGCCUGUAAACAACAUGGGCCUGCAAUAUAUAUUUUCAAUCUUUAGUGGAACUUUUCUUAUAACUAACUCUAUUUGCUUCUAGGGGUUAUACUUGCAGACUGUUUGCUACUGGAGUCUUAAAUACUCUUACGCAACAUGAUUAAAAGUAGAUGCAAUUUGAUUAAGAAUGAAAUGCAUUGAUGCUUGUCUUCUGGAAAGAAAAAAAAAUCAUCAUAGGAUGUACUGGUUAGUAAACUAAGGACAAUUAUGGAUGUAUAAGUGGAAAUUUAAAUCAUGUAUGGUUCUUUAUCAUGCAAUACUUGGCAUAACAUAAUUAAACUUAUUGGAAAACAAUGUGGAGCUUAGGAGAUCUGACAGUGGCUUGACUUGUUGUAGGAAUGGUACAGUGGUCGGUUGCUCCAUCAUGCAGAUGAUAUUCUUGCAAAGGCAGCUAACAUUCUGAAGAAAUAUCAAGAAUAGAAGCAAACUUCUAUUCUAUUGGCAGCUAAAAUUGGUGGUACCAGAUGAGAGCACAGCCUGCUGAAUUGACAGCUUGAAACUACAGCAGUGCUCUUAAAGAUGGUUAUGAUCAUGUUGCUUCAAUUUUGUCUCGUCAUGGAGCUGCUUUGCAUGUUUCGUAAGAUUCCAAGUUUUAAGGUUCUGACUAGAAUUUUGUUCAUUGUCUAACCUGAUAAUUAGGGUUGCUUACACAUUCGCUUGAUUUCAAAUGUAUCUAUCUACCAUGUUCACGUACUAAAUAUUUUAUUGCAGCAGCUUAGAAAUGAUGGAUGGUGAUAACCCGGCAUCCUAUCUUUGCAGUCCAGAAGGAUUACUCCAACAGGUACGGGGCCUGUUAAUUAAUAACACUUCCUUAGCUUGUGCUUUGUUGGUACUUUUUUUAACUUACUUUAGAAAUUUUAUCUGUAUAAUUCAAGCUUUUAAGUUAGGUAGGACUAACCCAUGUAGCUGUGCUUGUCACAGCAGGUCGUGCAGGGUCUCUAGGUUCAACAUGGGCUUGGAACGGGCCAAUAUGAGCUUUUUCAGUAUUACAGAUAUUAGGUAUUGUUGAUAUGUUUUUUAGGCUUCUUUUAGUGUCUUAUAAUUCAUUCUGAAGUAAAUCUUUAGUUUUAAUUGGGUUGUCUUGCCCAGAUAAUAAAGAAGAAACAUAUGACAAGUUGAUCAAUAACCAUUUUUCUGUUUUAUUGAAGUUUGGAAUAUAAUUGAUAAUUUGAUAUUACUAAACAACAAAAAUAGAAUUGCAUCACUAUACCGUAUAUUAGUGUCGUACUACUUUAGAUUGGCAUGGUCUGUCCAUUUACACUGGUGGGUGGUGGUAGUGCCUAGUGGUGGCUUCUGUUGUCUAGAAUUCUAUCGGUCAUUUGGUUUCUUCGAUAAAAUGUCUGACCUUAUGCUUUGUUUAUUGGGUAUAUAUCAUAUUAUACAAUUCCAAUGUAGUCUAACAUGAUUCGAUUUGCACCAGAUAUGGAGUGUUUCAAAGAAAUGGGCACAUUUGAUCGGGAGAAAUACCAAUGAAGGAUUUGACAGGGUCAGUUCUUCCUUUGCUCAAGAACAAAAGCAAAUUUCAGCUACCAUUUAUUUCUAUUAGACAUAUAUUGGAGACUUGGGAGCAGCCUCUCCAUAAAUGGAGAUAAGGUUAGCCGACAUUCACCUCUCCCAGACCCUGCGUAAAGCGGGAGCCUUGUGCACUGGGUACGACCUUAGACAUAUAUUGGAUAUUGCAAAUGUCUUAUAACUAGAAACACAUGGCUUCUGAUAGCGUUAGUUAAACACUUCUUCUUUUGCCCAUUCUGUGUUGCGCGUUCACGCGUCUGCUUUUCUCUUGCACGUUGGUUUAUGGCAAAUACAUACUAACUAUUACCAUUCCCAGGCCGAAGCUGUAAGAUCAUUUACAUAUUUCAGAAUGAAUGAUAAGAUCUUUAGGGCUGAAAAUUGGAGUAAUUUCCUUCCUUUUGUUAAAAAGAUGAGCACAAAUUGGUGAAGCAACCAAAAAACCCAACUUAAAUACUAAAUUUAUUGAUCUAGAGUAGCAGCCUCACUACCCUAUAAUUUUUUGUCAAGGGCAUGUGUAGAAGUUAAGAAGUUUGUCACUUCCUGAUAUAUUGACUGAAAUAACUUUGUGUUUCCAUGGCAGGCGUUCUUGACCUGGAAGUGUAAAUUUUUGAAACGGAUUUGGUUGGCCGUAGAAACUAAAUGCUUUACUAUCAAAAUACGAGAAGAAUAAUUGGAAUUGCAAUCUUGGUACUACUGGUCACAUUGCCUAGUCAAAUACAGGUACAACAUUUCAAUUUAAGGAAUAUACACAUACUGUCAUAUCCGUCACUAUACGAAAAUAAUGUAGUCUUUGCAGAUCGAAAACAACAAUAAGAAAAUGGAUCCGAAAAUAUAGAGAACAAAAAGAACUAAGAGUUCACUCCUUCACAGUCCUUCAAAUACUUAGUCUUGAUUUUGGUGAGUGUGAUUGCAGCAUCUUCUUCACAGUCCUUCAAAAACUUAGUCUUGAUUUUGGUGAGUGUGAUUGCAGCAUCUUUCAUGUUAAUCCUCUCUCCCGGCAAUGCUGCAGUACAAGCUAAAGCUAAUCUCAUAACGGAUGAUAAGCAAUCCCUCUUGCUCACAAAAUCACCAUCUUCCUCCGCCCCAAGUAUAUCGGCAUCCACAACUUCACCUAUUGCAGCAUCUGGAAAUAAUGAAUCUGCAAUCCAUUGCUUUAAAUUCAUUUCCCCAACAAACAUCUCAUCCGUUGGCUUCCUUUUUGUGAAUGUCUCCAUGAGUACAAUACCAAAACUAUACACAUCCCCUCUUGUCGAAACGCUUCCUUCCAUCCCAAACUCUGCAAAAUUUGUAUGUGAAUUUAGUUAUAUAUGAUAAAAAGAAAAUUAUAACUCCUAAUAAGACCAACAUAUACAAAAUUGAGAAAAUACAUCACCUGGAGCCAUAUAUCCAACUGUGGCUAGGGUCAUGGUUUCUGUCAUCGAAUGUCCACCGCCGAUGAGUCUUGCAAUGCCAAAAUCAGCAACAUGUGCAACCAUAUCAUCAUCUAGUAGUAUAUUGCUUGGUUUCACAUCACAAUGAACAAUAGGUACCGAGUAACCAUGAUGAAGAUAUUCCAGUGCCAAUGCAACAUCUUUCAUUACGUCCAGCCUCUGCAGGAUAUUCAUGGAGCUGUUUGGAGAAUACAACCAGUUUUCGAGGCUUCCAUUAGGCAUCAAUUGAAGUAUCAGGGCUUUGAAAUCAAGUUCAUCGCAGCAACUUAUGAUUUUAAUAAGAUUCCGGUGACGGAUAUUGCUUAGCAUUUCACAUUCCCUAUCAAAACUUUUGAAUGCCCCUUCUACCUGUAAAUUGAAAACCUUGACGGCAAUGUCUAUCCCGUAUGAAAGUGUUCCUCUGUAUACUGAGCCAAAACCCCCCGUGCCUAGUAAGUUACUCUCGUGAAAUCCAUUUGUCGCAUUUACAAGUUCUAGGCGCGAAACUCUUCUCCAAAGAACUUGAUGUAGCGAGGCAGUUUCUCUUACAACUUCGACAUUCCUUUUGUUGCAUAGUAUCAGAAUCAAUGCAGCGGCCGCUAGGAGUAUUACUGGUAUGACCCCUGAGAUGAUAUAUUUAGCUUUCCUCCAAUUUGGCUUAACUUUUGUUCUAUUUUUGCACAGGGGAACAUGGAGUCGGGAAGCACCGCAGAGCGCACCGUUGGAUACAAAUGAAUCGGCAGAGAAGUUUCCGAAAGGCCCGCCGGUUGGAAUUUCUCCUUGGAGUUUGUUGAAAGACAAAUUCAGAUGCUUGAGAUACAAGAGUGCUUCCAAUGACUUUGGGAUCUCUCCAGAUAGAUUAUUUUGGGACAAAUCCAAGAAUUCUAGGCUUAGCAAGGUUUUAAAUGAACUGGGAAUAGGGCCUUGUAAAUAAUUGUUUGCCAAGGACAAAUUAAUCAUAUUUUGAAGACCACCAAUGCUACCGGGAAUGUUUCCGGAGAAGUGGUUAUUUGAUAAAUCUAUAUCCACCACUUCUUUCAACUUUCCGAUGUCUUCUGAGAGUGGUCCAACUAGAGAAUUGGAUGACAAGUUUAGGUGCAAUACAUACUUGAGUUCCCACAAGGAAGAUGGUAUUUUUGAAGUUAACAAAUUGGACUCUAACGAUAGAUUUCUUAGAGCUACUGCCAAACCACCCAAGCAGGAAGGAAUAGAACCAGAGAGCCGAUUAUGACCCAAACCUAACUCGGCUAGGUUGGUUAGUUGACAGAGUUCAUACGGGAUAUGUCCUUGCAGUUUGUUAUCAUACAGAAACAAACCUUGGAGAUUUUUUAGCCUCUGUAUUGAUGUUGGAAUUGCUCCACUCAACUGAUUGAUUUCCAGAUGUAGUUCUAUCAAGCUGCUCAAGUUGGCAAUAUCAACGGGAAUGUUACCCCUGAUGUUGGAAAUGCUUAAAUCAAAAUAUGUGAGUGGCGUAGAGAGAUUCCCACGAAAAGCUGGAAUCGUGGUGUUUAAUGGAUUACCUCCCAAGUCUAAUUUUGUCAAAUUUCUAAGAUUAAACAAGCAAGAGAGAGUAGAAGCAUCAAUCGUCAAAUGAUUCCAGAACAAGAAAAGAAGCUCGAGGUUUUUCAAGGAACAGAGCGUGCUAGGAAGAAACCCGGUAAAUGAGUUUGUGUCCAUGGCUAGGACCCUGAGCUUGGAAGCAUUGGAGAAGUUAGGGAGUGUCCCGGCCACGAGGUUAUUGGAGGAUACAGAAAAGAAUUCUAGGUUUGGAACAUUAAGACCUAUGUUUGCUGGGAGGCCACCUGAGAGCUGAUUUAAAGUAAGCGAUAUUACUCUAAUCAUGGAGUUAUUGAAGAGCUUGGAUGGGAUGACACCAUUGAGAUUAUUAGCACCCAAUCUCAAAACCUCUAACUGCGGAAGAUCACCAAUCUCAUCCGGUAUUGUACCUAUCACAAUGUCAGCACGUUUGCAUUAACUUUGUAACUUCGGUUUAUCUAAAAACUAAAAACGAAAUGAUUGUAAAACGCCCCCAAAUUUAUUACCUGUUAAAUUAUUGAAACGAAGAAAAAUCUCGGUUAAGUAGGUCAAAUUGCCAAGACUUUUGGGUAUGCUCCCACGGAAAUUGUUAGACUCUAAUGCAAUUACACGAAGCUCUUUGCAUUGCCACAGUUUGGAGGGAAUCAGACCGUCAAACUGGUUUUGAUUCAAAGAAAAUCGUUGAAUACUCGAAAGAUGCUCACACAUAUUGUCCGGAAGAAUACCACUCAUGUUGUUUCCGGAUAAAGCCAAAGUAGUCAAAGAAGAUAUGUUAAGGACAGGCACAAAAGCAGAGCCUUUAGGGCAUUGUCCUGCACAAACAACUCCUCCAACUGACCUAAACUGCCUAUCUCGUUCGGAAGUUCUAUAAAAUCAAUCCGUGUAUAUUGUUAAAAUCAUGUAUACAUAUAUAGGAGCAGCUUCUUAUUGGGAAUCCCGUUGUACCAUAGCAAAAGUGGGAUACAUUCUAAGGACCAUGUACUCACCAUAUAGGACCUCUUUUUUGCUCUAGAAUACGAGGGUCUUACACGGUCAAUAUACGAUCCUACAAUAGUCCUCUCAUCUCAUUUUUUGCCGAAGUUGAACAAGAUCCCAGCUAAGAAGGGGCUUGUGUUUAUGUGUGUGUGUGUGUGUUUGUAUAUAUAUGUAACAAAACCUCAGUCAUACAGUAUACCUUCGAACUUGUUGUCGUCAAGGUAUAUGCCCUUCACCAUUGUUAAGUUGCCUAUUUCUCUGGGUAUACUACCUGUUAAAUAUGUGCAUGCAUUCCAACAAAAAAGAAGGAAAAAAAAAAACAAACGAGAUGAUUGUUAUACAUCUUAUAUAUAGAGGUUAAAAUGAAACAAAGAUGUUAAAAUGUAAUGAUGAAGCAAGCAACAUUAAUUUAUAUUCCUAGGUAGUUGGUAAUGGUGGUAUGUACGUACCCGAUAGUUGGUUCCUCAUCAGGUAAAUGUUUUCGAGUGCAGAUAAGUUGAAGAUAGCAGCGGGUAUGAAACCAGAGAAGUCAUUAUCGUACAAUUUGAUGGUUUGAAGUUUAGCAAAGGACCCAAACCACAAAGGAAUGGUUCCCAUAAAGCUGUUGUUUCCAAAGUUAAUCGCCUUCAACCGGCGCAAACGAGACAGUUCUUGCGGUAGGGGACCAUGAAAACUAUUAUUCUGAAGGCCCAACUCAACGAGAAAUGAGAGGUUGCCAAGAUGCGGAGGAAUAACUCCGGCAAGACCCAUGUAAGGGAGAUUUAAGGCCGUGACUCUGUGGUGGCGAGCACCGCAGGUAACGCCAACCCAGUUGCAAAUGUUGGAAUUGGAGGCAGAGGACCAGUUGGCGGUCAAGAUGUUUUGAGGGUCACUAGUGAUGUGAGCCUUGAGAGCAAGAAGCGCAGAUUGAUCUGUGCUGAAAUUGGUAUGAGCUAUUGCUAAUGCUCCUGCAGUUAAGUAAUUAGCCACAAUCAUCAUAUAGAUAUAACACAAGCAUUGUAUCAUCGACAACAUCUUUGAUAGUAGGAAACGACUUCUCUCCUUAAUUGUAGUAGUUUUCGUCUUUCGGUAUAAAUUCGAUCGAAAACUAGAACUCAUUACAUUCACAUAAAUAGGGAAACAAGUUGGUGUUACCAAGACUUGUGAACGACUUUUGUACUGGUUUGAUACUGAGGUGCUUUUAUAAAAAAUGGGUAUAAAAAAAAAAGAUGAGCUCAAAAAGGUGUUUGGUAAACACUUAAAAACAGUUUAUUUUCACAGUUUUGGGUGAAAAAAAAUUAAAAGCGUGAAGCAGCAAAAAUAAGCUUAUUCUCACAGCACAACAUAAACAGUUUUUUUUUUCAAAGCACAGCAAUACCAAACCAGCCCUUAGACUUGCCCGGCUUCUAUGUCAAGGUGAGGAGACUUUAGAUUUUUUAACAUAUCAAACACACACCAUUCAUUUUUUGCUGAUGGCGUAGGUAGGUGAGGAGGAAUGGUGACUGCGAUGUAAGAGAGAUUCAAGGCCACGACUUGAAUGUGGCAUACCAACCCAGUUGCAACUUUCAAGUGAGCAAUCAAUGCUAAGGAUGUUUUGGUCUGUGGUGGUGAUAUUUGGUAAUUCGCUGAUAGGUUAGCUAGGUGAGGAGGUCUAGUCUAAGUCCGACUUUUUUGUCGAAGUGAGGACUUAGAAUAGUGGAACGAAGGCUUGUGAUUUGGUAAUUGGUGCUGCCAGCCGACGAGUUCUGUCCAUUUUGUGGGCAUAGCUGGAGAUGCCCAAAUGUGGAAUUUUAGUCUUCAGUUCACCAUCAAAACAAACAAUACCAUAAAUUUCAAGAUUGAUAUUUAAUGAUGACAUACAUUUUGAUUCAAAUGCAAAUGCAAAUGCGACCAAACACAUGACAGUUACAUUCUUCCGGAUGAAAUGUUUUCGACGACGUUUACAUAUAAUCAAGCUCUAGUUGAACACUCUUCGGAUUCGAAAAUCAUCUAAACUUGGCUAAUUAGUCAAGAAUUACGGUCUUAUGCUUCUAAAUUAUUAAUCACGAUCGCAUGUAUAAAUUCAUUGCAGCAAUAACGAAGAAGGGAAGUAACAACCAGAGAUUGAAAACUAGUUCAGAUACGUACAUUCACUAUCAUGCAGACUUGCCAUUGGAGACAGCUCUGAAUAUGCAAAGGUUUUUUAUAGGAAAAAUUAGUAUCCGGUCCCUAGUUCUUACUGUUCAUUGAUUAAGACCUUAUUAGUUCUCAAAUUUUGAUUCAAGUCCCUAGCAAUAAUGUGAUAAUGAAUUUACAUGUUUAUUAUAUAAUUUUUUAAUAUAAAAAUUAGUAAUUAAUUUAGGGUUUAAUACUCACACCUCUAUUAAACUUCUAAUUAAUUUUCAAUUCAAACAUUUCCAAAAUAAUAAAAAAUUAAAUUAAAUUAAGUUUGUACCUAUUACUUUAUAUAUAUAUAUAUAUAUAUAUAUAUAAAGAUUCUCAAUUUUUUAAUCUUAAAUGUACCCAUUCAUAUAAUUUUUCAAUUUUUUUAAUCUUAAAUGUACCCAUUCUCAAAUACAUCAAUUUGUUAUAUGUAAAAUGUACCCUUUUUUUUAAUAUAAAAUCCAUUCAAAUUUUUUAAUCCAUGUUUAAACUUAUAUGGGUACAUUCUUUUUCGUUGAUUUGAGAAUGUAUCCAUGUUUUGAUACAAUAACUUUUUUUGUUAAUUUUGGUUAAUGUACCCAUACAUAUAUGUACACACACAAUAUAAUAGAGGGUAUAAUUUAUAUUUUAUUAUUUUUAAUCCCAUAAAUUAUGGGUUUUAUUUAAAAUCUCAUUAAUAUAAACAAUUACAAAUUUCAAUUUUUAAUUUUUAAUUUAAAACAUAUAGUAACUUACAUUAUUAUAUUAAUGUCAGGACCUCAAUCAAAAACUAAAAACUAACAAGGUUUCAAUUAAAAAAUAUUGAUAGCUAGGGAACGCAUCCAAAGUGUCCAUUUUUUAUAUGACUUCAACAAGAGAGGACAUACCAUGCUUAGAGAUGAAGCAGGCCUGCACCUGCAAGCCACGGUGGUAAUCGAAUUCCAGUGAAAGGGAACAAAACUCCAGCCGCCACCGGCAUGCUGAGGAUAUUGUAGCCCAGGGCCCAGACAUAAUUCAAUCGAAUUUGAGACAUGGUCUUUCUAGAGAGAUCAAUGGCUGUAACUACAUCUUCCAAGUUGCUCUUCCUCAGAACUAUAAGCAGCUUCUAUAACUACGUCGGUGCCCGCACCAAUUGCCAUACCAACAUGUCCUGCAACCAUUGCCGGAGAGUCAUUAAUUCAAUCUCCCAUCAUUGCCACCACCAUUCCUUUCAUCUGCAUCCAAAUCCACUUUAACAAGUCAGAAAACACUAUGUAAGAUAGAUAACUCACAUAUCAAGUCAGAAACAAACUUAAUAUAGAAAAAUGAGUUUGAAGAUUGUUUGCAAGGUUUAGCAAGGUUUUAAAUGAAAUAGGAAUAGGGCCUUCUAAAUGAUUGUUUGCCAAGGAGAAAUCAAUCAUAUUCUGAAGACCCCCAAUGCCACCGGGAAUGCUUCCGGAGAAAUGGUUAUUUGAUAAAUCCAUAUCCACCACAUCCUUCAACUUUCCGAUGUCUUCUGAGAGUGGUCCAACCAGAGAAUUGGAUGACAAGUUUAGGUGCAAUAUAUACUUGAGUUCCCACAAGGAAGAUGGUAUUUUAGAAGUUAACAAAUUGGACCCUAACGGUAGAAAUCUUAGAGCUACUGCCGAAGUACCCAAGCAGGAAGGAAUAGAACCAGAGAGCCGAUUACCAUCCAAACGUAACUCGGCUAGGUUGUUUAGUUGACAGAGUUCAUACGGGAUAUGUCCUCCCAGUUCGUUAUCAUACAAAUACAAACCUUGGAGAUUUUUUAGCCUUUGUAUUGAAGUUGGAAUUGCUCCACUCAACUGAUUGUUUCCCAGGCUUAAUGAUAUCAAGCUGCUCAAGUUGCCAAUAUCAACUGGAAUGUUACCCCUGAUGUUCGAAUUUCUUAAAUUAACAUAUAGGAGUGACGUAGAGAGAUUCCCACGAGAAGCUGGAAUCAUGGUGUUUAGUGGAUUUCCUGCCAAGUAUAAUCUUGUCAAAUUUCUAAGAUUAAACAAGCAAGAGAGAGUGCUUGCUGCUUAUGGAGUAGAAGCAUGAAUUGUCAAAUUAUUCGAGUGCAGGUUUUUCAGGGAACAUAGCGUGGUAGGAAGAAUCCCGGUAAAUGAGUUUGUGUUCAUGUCUAGCUUCCAGAGCUUGGAAGCAUUGGAGAGGUUAGGGAGUAUUCCAGCCACGAGGUUACUUCUGGCUACAUAAAGGAUUUCUAGGUUUGGACCGUUAAGAGUCUUAACUUAAGACCGCUGUUUGCUGGGAGGCUACUUGAGAGCUGAUUGAAAGAACGCCCUAUUUCUCUUAUCAUGCAGAGAUUGAAGAGUUUGGAUGGGAUGACGCCACUGAGAUUAUUAAUAACAAGUCCCAAAAUCUCUAACUACGGAAGAUUACCAAUAUCAUCCGGUAUUGUAUCUGUUAUAAUUUCAGCACAUUUGCAUUAAAUUUUUAACUUCAAUUUAACUAAAAACUAAAAGCGAAAUGAUUAUCAAACAAUCCUAAAUUUACUACCUAUUAAAUUAUUGUCAUUAAGAUAAAUCUUGGUUAAGUAGGUCAAAUUGCCAAGACUUUUGGGUAUGCUUCCAAGGAAAUUGUUAGACCCUAAUAAGAUUUCACAAAGCUCUUUGCAUUGCCACAGUUUGGAGGGAAUAAGACCGUCAAACUGGUUUCGACCCAAAUUAAAUCGUCGAAUACUCAGAAGAUGCUCACAUAUAUUUUUCGGAAGACUGCCACUAAUAUUGUUUCCAUAUGGAGCCAAAGUAGUCAAAGAAGAUAUGUUGAGGACAGGCACAAUAGCAGAGCCUUUUAGGGCAUUGGACUGCGCAUACAACUCCUCCAGCUGAUCUAAACUACCCAUCUCGUUUGGAAAUUCUAUAAAUCAAUCAGUAUAUAUUGUUAAAAUCAUGUAAACAUAUAUAGGAGUUGCUUCUUAUUAGGAAUCCUGUUCUACCGUAGCAAAAGUGGGAUAAUAUUAUAAGGACCAUGUACAACUAUAUAGGUUCUCUUUUUGCUCCAGCAUACGAGGGUCUUACAUAGUAAAUAUACGAUCCCUAUGAUAGUCCUCUUAUUGUAUUUUUGCUAAAGUGGAACGAGAUUCCUGCUAAGAAGGGGCUCGUAUCUAAACUACUUACUACCUCAAUCAAAACUACAUGAAAUUACAAUUUUAACACCCAAACCAAAACUGCACAAAAAUAAAAAAAACUAUGGGUAAUUUAGUAAGGGCUGUGCUAUCCACACACCCCAUUUUACUUCUCACACACCCCUUGAUAAUUUAUGUAUGUUGAUAUUCUUCAAUUGAUUCGAUCCGACGGCCGAAAAUUAAAAAGGUUUGUGAGAAGUAAAAUGGGAUGUGUGCAUAUCACACCCCUUUAGUAAUUACAUGAACAUAACUUUUGUUGUUAUUUAGGGCAACCUCACAGCUAGGUCACCAUAGCAUGCCAUAUUUAAAAAUUAAAAAUAAAAUAAAAUAGUAAAUAAAAAACAUGCCUACUUUAGAAGAAACUGCUCAUCAUUUUCCCAAUUUUUAUAAGGGGUGUGCUAUCCACACAUUUUUUUACUUCUUACACAUUCCUUGUUAAUUUAUGUCCGUUGAUCUUCUUCAUUUUAUCCGAUACUACGGCUGAAGAUUAGAAGGGUGUGUGAAAAGUAAAAAGGGUGUGUGGAUAUCACACCCCUUUUUUUAUAAUUGAUUUAUUGUUUUAGAAUUUUAAAAACUAAUCACACUACUUAGUAAAAAAAACAAAAUGAAAUGAAAUUAUACAAAACCUAAGUCAUACAGUAUACCUUCGAACUUCUUGUCGUCAAGGUUUAUGCAAUUCACCAUUGUUAAGUUGCCUAUUUCUCUGGGUAUGCUACCUGUUAAAUAUGUGCAUGGAUUCCAACAAAAAAGAAGGCAAAAAAAACGAAGGAGAUGAUUGUUAUACAUCUUAUAUAUAGAUGUUAAAAUGUAAUCAUGAAGCAAGCAACAUUAAUUUAUAUUCCUAGCUGUUGGUAAUGGUGGUACGUACGUACCUGAUAGUUGGUUCGUGCUCAAACUAAUCAUUUCGAGUGCAGAUAAGUUGAAGAUAGCAGCGGGUAUGAAACCAGAGAAGCCAUUACCGUACAAUUUGAUGGUUUGAAGUUUAGGAAAGGACCCAAAUCACGAAGGAAUGGUUCCCAUAAAGCUGUUGUUUCCAAAGUUAAUUGCCUUCAACCGGCGCAAACGAGACAGUUCUUGCGGUAGGGAACCAUGAAAGCUAUUAUUCUUAAGGCCUAACUCAACGAGAAAUGAGUGGUUGCCUAGAUGCGGAGGAAUAACUCCGGCAAGACCCAUGUGCGAGAGAUUUAAGGCCGUUACUCUGUGGUGGCGAGCACCGCAGCUAACGCCAACCCAGUUGCAAAUGUCGGAAUUGAAGGCAAACGACCAGUUGGCGGUCAAGAUGUUUUGAGGGUCACUAGUGAUGUGAGCCUUGAGAGCAAGAAGCACAGACUGAUCUGUGCUGAAAUUGGUAUGAGAUAUUGCUAAUGCACCUGCAGUUAAGUAAUUAGCCAUAAUCAUCAUAUAGAUAUAACAUAAACAGUGUAUCAUCGACAACAUUUUUGAUGGUAGGAACCGACUUCUCUCCUUAAUUGUAGUAGUUUUCGUCUUUCGGUUUAAAUUCGAUCGAAAACUAGAGCUCAUUACAUUCACAUAAAUAGGGAAACGAGUUGGUGUUACCAAGACUUGUGAACGACAUAGACUUGCCCGGCGUCUAUGUCAAGGUGAGGAGACUUAGACUAGUCGAACGAAGACGAGUGGCAAGGAACACCUACCAUUCAUUUUUUGGAUUUUUUAACAUAUCAAACACACACCAUUCAUUUUUUACUGAUAGCUUGAAGGUGGCGUACGCCGUAAGCAACACCUACCAAUUGCAACUUGGAAGUGAGCAACGAGUGGUAAGGAUGUUUUGGUCUGUGGUGGUGAUAUUUGGUAAUUGGUGCUGCUAGCCGACGAGUUCUGUCCAUUUUGUGGUCACGGCUGGAGAUGCCCAAAUGUGGAAUUUUAGUCUUCAGUUCACCAUCAAAACAAACAACACCAUAAAUUUCAAGAUUGAUAUUUAAUGAUGACAUACAUUUUGAUUCAAAUGCAAAUGCAAAUGCGACCAAACACAUAACAGUUACAUUCUUCCGGAUGAAAUAUCUUUGCCGACAUUUACAUAUAAUCAAGCUCUAGUUGAACACUCUUCGGAUUCGAAAAUCAUCUAAACUUGGCUAAUCAGUUUUUUCUGAACAGAACAAACCAAAGAUGAUACGCAAACGGUCCAAGAAUUACGGUCUUAUGCUUCUAAAUUAUUAAUCAUGAUCGCAUGCAGACUUGCUAUUGGAGACGCUCUGAAUAUGCAAAGGCUUCUUAUAUGACUGCAACAAGAGAGAACAUACCACGCUUAGAGAUGAAGCAGGCAUGCACCUGCAAGCCAUGGUGGUAAUCGAAUUCCAGUGAAAGGGAACAAAACUCCAGCCGCCACCGGCAUGCUGAGGAUAUUGUAGCCCAGGGCGACAUAAUUCAAUCGAAUUCGAGACAUGGUCUUUCUAGAGAGAUCAAUGGCUGUAACUACAUCUUCCAAGUUGCUCUUCCUCAGAACUAUAAGCAGCUUAUAUAGCUAUGUCGGUGCCAGCACCAAUUGCCAUGCCAACAUCUCCUGCAACCAUAGCCGGAGGGUCAUUAAUUCCAUCUCCCAUCAUUGCCACCGCCAUUCCUUUCAUCUGCAUCCAAAUCGACUUUAACAAGUCAGAAAACACUAUGUUAGAUAACUCACAUAUCAAGUCAGAUACAAACUUAAUAUAGAAAAAUGUGUUUGAAGAUUUCUAUAAGACAUUAUUUUACCCUAGAUAAGUCAUUUGAAAUAUAAUUUAGUAAUCCUCAAUCUGCGUUCAAAACCAGAACAAAAUUACUUGUGGAGCUGGGUAAUUGUAAUCCACUCACACCACCCCUGUAACUAUUAUAUAAUCGUAACUGUAAUUCUUUGAUUCUAUCAGCUUUUCAUAGUGGAUCCGUCUCAGCACACCUUAUCAAUGCCAACCUCCAUCGCACUGGCUGCCGCUGUAGCCCAGUUAUCACCAGUAACCAUGAUGCUUGUAAUGUUUAUCGAGUGAAGAUAAGAGAUGACUCGUGCAGCCUCUGGCUUCACUGGGUCAGUUACAGCAAAAGACCCAGCAAUCUUUCCAUCAAUGGACACCAACACACACCUUCGAGCCAGAUUAUCAUGUUCUGAAACAUACUUGUCAACCUCAGGACCAACCUGGACAUUAUUUUCCCGCAUGAGCCUCAGCAAUCACCAUUUACCUACAUAUUUCUCAAAUAGAGGCAUGUUAGCAUGAUUGACAAAAUAAUAACAAUAAGUUGUCUCAUCUGUAACUUUACAAACUUCAAACUUUUCAUGAACAAAUUUGAAACAUAAGCACCAACCUCUGUGACAAUAGACACAGCACAGAACUCCUCCAUUGAGUAAUUGGAGAAGAGCACAGCAUUGACUACUACGGGUUUCCCAACUGUCUCUCUGGUUGAGGCUGCAUUCAUUUUGACACAUGGGAAGGGCUUACUCUCCUAGUGGCUCGGCUUGGUCUCGCUCCCUUCCCGCACUAUUCCUCCCCACUAAAAAGAUUUGAUAAUCUCAAUAACGUUCAGAAAGGUUAUUGAGAUAAAUCGAUGAAAUCUUUCAAGCCAGCAUGGGGCAAAAGCUAUCAAAACGGGUGAUUGGGGAAGGAGAGAUAGGUCCAUUCACGAACACUAUUGGUCCCUGUUUCAUAAAAAAACAACCGUUUUCACUGGCAGGGAUCAAACACGUCCGUAAACAUCCAGACACCAACAAGGUGUCAAAUACUAAGAAACGUAUCAACCUUCAUGAAUUAGGUACCGUCUGUUCAGCUUUUAAUUUUGGAAAGAACAAAAACCCCAAAAAGGACGAAACAAUUAUUAGCCUUGUUAUAAAAAAGGGAGUUGGGGUAAAGAGAACUCUCCUUCAAUGAGAGCUGUCAUCUACAAGAAAUGGGGAUAUAAAACUUGGCGAGUACGGCUUGGUGACAUGGACAAGGUGCAUACAGCCAUCAAUCGUCCAGAACCAAAGGGUCAUAUGAGACAGAUUCCAACUAUGAAAUAAUAGUUGCAUGUUCAAUCCCAAUAUAUGCAGGAAGAACAUCCUCCAUACCCAAUGACAUAGAUUGCAUUUAGUUUUAUGUCACGAGCCUAAACGUUGAUCGAACCAAGGCAGAGCGUUUAACUGGUCAGGAAUGAAGUCCAUAACUUGUUCUCAUACGGAACACUAACAUAAUGUAGGGUGGUAGUAUAGGGGAUAGUAUGAAAUGACCAGAACAAUAUGAGGAGAGCAACUUCAUAAUGGAGGAAUGACGAGAAAAAAAAAACUACACUUGCACCCUCAAGACAUAUAGAGAAUGUAUCUAAUCAGAAAUUGGUUUUUCCUAAACCACAACAAACAGGUUUUCGACGUCCUCAAAGGAAAUGUAGGAACAAGUAUAAUGAAGCAACUAAACACACCAGCAAAAACAACAUGAAAAUAAAAUGCAUGAAAACCAGAUUCUAAAUUAAAAAAGAAAUUUGUUUCCAAGGAUAAGGUGGUCUUACCUUAUAAGCCUUUUCAAGUACACUAGCAAAAAUGCCCGCACUCCGCUGCGGGGACUUCUAGAAGUAUGAUCUUGUACCAUUUGAUUUCUUUUGCCAUUCCUAGUUCUUUUUGGCAUCAUGUGCAAAACCAAAUUGAUAGAUAAAAAAAGGUCGUACCCAGUGCACAAGGCUCCCGCUUUACGCAGGGUCUGGGAGAGGUGAAUGUCGGCUAGCCUUACCCCCAUUUAUGGAGAGGGCUGCUCCCAAGUCUCGAACCCGAGACCUACCGCUCAUGGGCGAAGGCACUUGCCAUCACACCAAGUGCGACCUCUUUAUUAUAAUUAAGUAAAAAAAUGAUAGGUAGGAAGAAAAAAAUGAAAACACCUGCAUAAAUUCAAUUUUCCAUCACCCCUAUAUUAUAAUUAAAUAAAGCAAAACAUAAUAAUCAUCUCACAAUUACAGAAGCAAGGACUUUCAAAUGCCCCAAUUAGUUAACAGCCACUAUGCAUAAUUCUGAAAAAAUGAGUAUAAAAUUAACCUCUUUUGAAAAACGAAGGAAGAAAGAUGAAACCUUAAGCCAAGGAAUAUAACUAUGUUGAACUCAAUUAUUUGACAUUAAUUACACAAACCCAAUUCCAUAUAUAUAGCCAGACAGAAGCUUUAUCCUAGAGAGAAACCAUGCCCAAAUGAUUAUAAUUCAGAGCAUAAAAGGGAAGUGAGUUCCUUGGUUCCCACAUUGUAGAGACUAAAUCUCAAAACUUUGCCAAGCAUUACAGGAAACCAUGGAAAGAAUAAAAAUGACCACAAAGAUUGCAAAACAAUUAACCACAGGUGGUGUUUAUAUGCCCACUGAGAGAAAAGAGCUUGUGCAAGUGAAAAAACGUAUUUAUAUAAAACAGGCAUGCACCAUCUGAAAGAGCCUCUUGUAUCCAUUCCAAUUAUACUUAUGUCUACCAUAUCCCUCUACAAUUCCCCACCACCAAUCAACCAUAACUGAUUUCAAUACCCUUAGCUGCUUUAGUAGACCAUCUAGUGACACCAACUGCCACCAAAAUAAAAGACACGAUCAAGACCAUACAAAUUACAGACUAAGCUUAAAAACAACGGUUAUCUAUUAAGCAAAACUUGGAACUCCUUGACAUGGCAACCUCUUAAUCCAGGAUGUAGAGUAGAAAAGCAAAAUUAUUGACAAACCGAAAAAUAACAAUUUAACUUGCAUAGUAAACGAAUAUUAGUAAAGUUACAUAACUCAAUGGAUUACAUAAAUCUGUAAAAAAGCGAAACAUCAGUGUUUGGGAAGUUACCUUAUUUGAAAUGUCAGGAGCAUCUGGUGUACAUACAGGGUAGACAGUCCUUGCAAAAUUCAGGGCUUCAAAAUAAAAUAAAAUAAUAAAUUCAAAAGAAAUCAAAACUAUUAAUCCUAACAACUGUUUAGUAAAGGAUAAAACAAUCUUUCCAUCAAGCAAAUUUGAGAAACAAGUAAUGAAUGGAAUAACCCAAUUUCUAUCGCCAAUCACCCUUGCUGAGUGAUGAUUCACAUACUUCCUCAUAUUUGUUUAUGGGUUCCUGUCCAACAAAAUUUCGACUUAGUACCCAAAAACUGUAUCAGCUCACAAACACACAGAGGUUUAUCAAAUUCAAAGCAAAACCCACAUAUAUUCUCAAGAUUCUAGAGUUAAAAGAGGAGCAAGGAGGUUCGGUUAAGGAACCCAAAACGCUAUUUUAAUGAGCAAAUGAAUAUCUAAACUGGGGUUAACAAGUUUCAGCAAUAAAAAACAUGUCUUUCGAACGAAGUUGCAUAAAUUACAGAACUUUGGGAUUAAGGAGGAACAAAAAGCCCAAAUUCCAAUCAAGAAAAAAAAAAUGUAUGUAAAUUUAAGCUUUACCUGUAGAUUGGCAGCAGCAAAACAUACUGGAUCCAACGGGAGCCACGUGUGAGAACUGGAUGCCCAGCCUUUGACACGUUAUUGAGUGAGUUUAGGGAUCUGGGUUUUGUGUUUGCCGUUGAAUUUUGGAAUGAUCUGGAGAAAUUUGGGUUUUAGGGUUCUAAGGAUUUGAGUGAACUGAAAUUGAUUUGGAUGAGCAACUUUUAGUUUCGAUUCGCGGUGGAGCAAGGAUGAAGAGGUGGAGGAGGAAGGAAUGAAAGACUUAACUUCUAAAGUUUCAAGUGCUCAAGGAAGAAAAUAUCGGUAAUAUCGGAAAUAUCGGUAGUCUGAAAACAUGGAAAUAUCGAUGGAAAUAUCGGGAUAAUAUCGAUAUCGAUAAAAAUUACAUGGAAACCACGGAAAUUGUAAGAAAAACUUGGAAAUUUUUAUUGAAACUUUGCAGGAUGUUUAUUUAGUCAAUUAUCUAUUUGUUUAUCACAAAAAAUUGGAAGGAAAGGCAUUACAUGAUGGAUUUAACAUUAUCAAGUUGAUUAUAUAACGAGCUGACAAACAUUGUGAGUGUAGAAAAUAUGUAGAAAUUAAUGAAAGAAGUCUAAACACACCAUAAUCAUUUAUAUAUAAUGAAUUAGUACAAUAUUUUACACUUUAUACAUUGCAUGGUAAGAUACAUGAGUGACUUAGUACCACAUAGAGUUCCUAUGAGGUUCAAAAUUUUCACUAUCUUCAUCAUCUCUAUGUGUAGAGUGAGUGUAUUUUAAAGAGUAGUUAGCAACCAUGGCAAUGGUUUUCAAGAACCAAAACCCAAAAGUCAAUAGGAAACCGAAUACUUCGGUAUUUUUCGGGAUUACCAAACAAAUGGGAUUUGGAAACCAAUCCCAUAUCGAAAAUUUCGGUAUUUUUCGGGAUGGGAUUCCCGAACUUCAGGAUGGUUUUGGUUUGGGAUUUUUCGGUUUGGGUUUGGGACUUUUUCAAUUUGGUUUGGGAUUUUCCGGAAUUUUUUCCAGCCCUACCAUGUAAGUGACCAAAUAAAAAAUAGAAAAAUUAAAAACCACAUGCCAUUGACUAAGUAAUUAAUUGAUACAAUUUAAAAUAUAAUACCACAAAAAAUUUGGAAUAUGUGCAAAUUUGUUUCUUGUAAAAAGAAUUCAAAACAAAACCAUAUAUAUAAAUAUUGUAGCAUAUUAUCACAACAUCAUAAGUGGUAUAGUGGUUAAGGCGUUAAGGAGGUAAACUCGAGGAGUUCGAACCCUUCUAUGCUCAAAAUUGAGACUUUUCCAAAUUUUCAGGAAUUUUUUGACUAAUAUCGCGAUAUUUUGACGAAAACUCAUUGGAUACUCAUUAAAAUAUCGGUAACUCAAAAAAACGAAAAUAUCGGCGAAAUAUCGUCGAUAUUUUGGAUAUUUUCUUCCAUGCAAGUGCUCAACAAAUUUCGAUCAAUGUAUGUUUCAAUACUUCAAAAAAAGGGACAUGCAUCAAAGACUUUUAGGUGGAAAAAAAUAUGCAUUGGCUGAUGGAGAUAAUUAGGAUUUAAAAUGUUAAAAAUUUUCUUUUUGGCUCACUAAUUAGAUGCAAAAGUGAGACUGUGUGAACAAUUUUACACCCAGAAACAUGAACUACACAGAAUCACAACUGAUCGAACAAUGAGAAAGUAUAUAAGACAAUACACUAUCAAUAGGCUAAAACACUCUUUUAAUUGAUCUAACAAUAGGCUAAAACACUCUUUUAAUUGAUCUAACAAUAGGCUAAUAGGAUUAACUAAACCAUUAGAGACUGCAACAAUGAGAAAGUCUGAAGAUUAAAGUUCUAGUUGAAUAUCUUUGAACCCCUAGGUGUUGGAAACACUUUCAGUAAAUUUGUUCAGGAAAAUAUAGAAACUCAUGAUGCAAUUCCAUCGUCUGGGAUAGCACAUAUUUACCUGGAAUCCAACAUUAAGCUAACAUUUUUCAUAAGUUUAUUCUUUUUGUUAACUACACUGGAAUUUAUAAAACAAUUUUAGAAAAACUCGAGUCUAGAUAAUGAACUUUUGUUCCAGUUUAAAAAAUUUUGACUUGUGUUCUAAGCAACAUAAUGUAUUCACAUUUCAAUUGUGAAAGGCAGCAAUAAUCCCCGACUGAAGAUAUUAAAAAUCAGAACUUCUUCUCCAAGUUUUCAUUUAGUUUAUUUCACUUGUCCAUCGGAAUUUUAUGCAAAGAAGAUUAAAUAAAGACAAUAGCAUGCCAAAGAUUAAAACCCCUCAUUUCAAACUCUGCUAAUGCACAACUCUGUUUGGUUUUCUUCCCAGAGACCAGACUGAGUGAGGAGUCAAGUUCUCCAAUGCACCAACAAUCUCCCGUUCGAGCAGCCAUCACCACCUCACUUGCCACUCCGGCGAGGCACCACCUUGCCACCACCCUCAUGUCUCACUCCCUUUCUACCACUCUCCUUAUUUCCCUCACCUCUUUCUCUCGAUACUGUGCUCGCUGCACAGAAACAGCAAGGCAACCACCGUCGCCUUUUUUCACAGCGAACUACACCGUAACGAAACCAUCACCAUUAAUCUCGCUACCUAGGCGAGUUUUACCACCCUCUGCAAACUGCCUUCAUGCCUUCUAAUUUCAAUUCUUGCAUUUCUUGUAUGGUAUCCAUGUCUUGCACAUUCAAAUACUUAUAUACCGACUGAGAAUAACAAUAUAAAUCCCACACCCACCUCUUUUUCCCCACUUGAAAAAUCACCUAAAAACAACAUUAACCACCAUAGUUUAAGAAUCCAAACAUGGCUCCAAAUUUCAAUCUAAUUAAUUAAAUUACAGAGGAUUCUACCUACCUCAUGAAAACAAAUAUGUUCAGUUAAAGAAAUUCCCUAAUCAUUGCAGUGCAUCUUAAACUACUUCUUAACUAUGUCAGCCAUACCAAUCUAAUAAAAAAUCCAUGUUUCAAUCGAUUCUUAUUAAUUCCAACUCCAAGUAUUUCAGCAUCUAGAUUAUAGAAAAAUCAUAACAAAACAAAACUCAAUCUUGGUGCUAAAGCACACUUCGUUAACCUCACCUUCAUCAAGUCCAUGAUUCCUGCCAUGAGAUCUUUCUCUUAAUCCAGACUUGGCUUCAGAUGCAAGAUCAAAAUAACGAAGCAUUCAGUUCCAUUUCUACGCACAGCAAAUUAAAAAUUGAAAUAUGUUAUAAUUUACUCGGAAUCUUCAUAAGUAUCAUGAAAGCAUAUAAACAGAUACAUUUGAAAACUGAUAAAGCUACCUAAUUAAGUUGAAAAGUCGCUAAUUAAGAUCAAGUGCCAGUGCAUCCAGUGAGCCUUCCAAGGAAAGAUGGCCCCAUGGACUUAGACCUUGAAAACUAAGGCUUGUUUUGCCUUGUAAUUGUAUGAUCAGUAGCAUUCUUAUGGAUUGUAAUUGUAUGAUCAGUAGUAUCUGAAAGAUAUGAUUUCUGAAACUCAACUCAAUGAUUUGAGUGAGCCAAUUAGUAUUGAUAUAUAUAGCAUUACAAAGUAGACAUGUAGUAGAAUAUAGAAAGUUCAAUUACAAGCAGUAUCGGAAACAAAUUACUAAUCAAACUAGAACUCGGCUGCUGCUCAAGUAUCUGUAUAGGAAUGAACAUCUUGAGCGGAGAAUGAUGGAACAUCCUUGUUCUUGUGGGAGACUGGUUUAUCACUCCCCCGCAAACUGACAGGGAGGCCACGAACUGGUAGUUUGGAGAGCAUAAAAGUAAAGCGGGCAGCAGAGAGACCUUUAGUAAGAAGAUCAGCCAGCUGGUCAACAGAGGAGACAUAACCAAUAGUGAGUUCAUUGCGAGUGACCUUUUCCCGAACAUAAUGAUAGUCCACCUCCACAUGUCGCAUGCGUUGUUGAUAGACGGGAUUAGAGGCUACAGAAAUGGCACUGAUGUUGUCGCACCAGAUGCGGGGAGGAGCAAGCGGGAGAUGAAGCUCUCGAAAUAAGGUGCGAUACCAAGAGAGCGCCGUAGCAGUGAACGCAAGCUGGUGGUAUUCAGCUUCGGUGCUGGAGCGAGAGACACCUCGUUGUUUCUUGGAGCUCCAGGAAAUAAGGUUAUCACCAAGGAAAAUACAAUAGCCACCAGUAGAACGACGGUCGUCAGGAUCGCCGGCAUAGUCCGCAUCAACAUAGGCAGUGAGGUGAAGGGGACUCGGUUUGUAAACAAUGCCAUGAUUCGGAGUCGCUUUAAGGUAACGGAGGAUGCGUUUAACAGCAACCUAAUGGAUUGUGGUUGGCCGAUGCAUGAACUGGCAAACCUGAUUUACAGCAAAGGCGAUAUCAGGACGAGUGAAAAGAAGAUAUUGCAAGGCCUCUACAACACUUCGGAAUUCUGUAAGAUCAGACAAUAGUUCUCCAUCUGAUAAGAUGAGGCGUCGACCAGGAAUAGUGGGGGCCGAAAUAGGCUUGCAGUCCAGCAUAUUAGUACGUUUAAGAAGAUCAGUGAUAUAUUUUGCUUGAGUAAGAUGAAGGCCGGCAGCAGUAUGAUGAACUUCCAUUCCUAAUAAGUAAUGAAGGGGGCCAAGAUCCUUCAUGGAAAAAAGAACGCCCAGCUGUUGAAUUAAGCGAGCAAUAUGAUCCGUGCUAUUACCAGUAAUAAGGAUGUCAUCCACGUAUAUUAACAAGUAAAGGAUGACAGAGCCAUCAAAGAAAGUAAACAAUGAAGAGUCGACAUGAGAAGAAACAAACCCCAAAUGUUCCAAGUGUUGGGAAAAGCAUUGGAACCAUGCACGAGGAGCUUGUUUAAGGCCAUAUAGAGACCGUUGUAAUUUGCACACAUGAAUGGGACGUUGAGAAUCAACAAAUCCUGGAGGUUGGCGCAUAUAGACAUCUUCAUUUAGAGAACCAUGAAGGAAAGCGUUUUGGAUAUCGAGUUGCUGAAACGGCCAAUUGUAGUGAAUAACAAUGGAGAGAAUCAGCCGAAUGGUGGCAUGAUUGACGACGGGGCUGAACGUCUCACCAUAGUCCAAACCUUCUUGUUGAUGAAACCCAUUGACGACUAACCGUGCUUUGUAUCGUUCGAUGGAACCAUCAGAGCGCCGCUUGAUUUUGUAGACCCAUUUGUUGGGGAGAACGUUCAUAGUGUGGUGGAAUGGGACUAAGGUCCAGGUACCAUUGCGUUGUAAUGCAGUAAACUCGUCAGCCAUGGCUUUGCGCCAUUCAGUGUGUUUGUGUGCCUGACUAAAACAGGUAGGCUCAACCAAAUCAUCAGAAAAAGUAGUAACAAAAACAUAUUUGGGAUUAGGUUUUCGAACACCAACUUUGCUGCGAGUAACCAUGGAGUGAGACCGAUCACUUACCUCGGGAGUAGAUGAAACGGAUGCAGCGGGGGCAACAGGUGGUAGGUUUGCUCCAGGGGCUGACGGAUGGGUAGGAGUUAUGGGGAAAGCAGGUUGGGGGGAAGAAGCUGUGGGGGAUAAAGGAGAGGCAGAUGUGUCCGGCGGGAAACGGGUAGGGCGAGAGGGCCUACGAGUAUAAACUUGAAGGGGGCGUUGGGUAGGGUGUGAUGGUAGGGUUGAGGGAAUGGAAGAGGAAGGCUGCGGGAUGGAGGGUGUGGGGGCACCAUGAGAUGGUGAUGGUCCGAUGGUGAGUACUGGAUCCACAGACGAGGAAAGCAAUGAAGGCGAUGGAACAAUGGACUCUUUAUAUGGAAAGGUGUGCUCAUCAAACACGACAUGGCGAGACAGAAAUACACGACCUGUGGAGGGAUCUAAGCAGCGAUAACCAAGAUGGUUUAGAGAAUAACCCAAGAAAACACAGCGUUUGGAACGAAAUUGCAGUUUGUUAGUAUUAUAUGGACGUAAAUACGGAAAACAGGCACACCCAAAAACUUUAAAAAACUUAUAUUGAGGAGGUUUGUGAAACAGUUUUUCAAACGGGGAGAUAUUGUGUAAAAGGCGAGUGGGUAAACGGUUAAUAAUGUAAUUGGAAGUAUGAAAGGAUUCGGUCCAAAAGGGAGUAGACAGACCGGAUUGAGCUAAAAGAGUAAGGCCAGUUUGAACGAUGUGGCGGUGUUUACGUUCCGCCACACCAUUUUGUUCCGGAUGAUGAGGGUAGGUAAGACGAUGUAAGAUGCCAUGGUGAUUUAAGAAUGUUCGAAAACUAUGAUUAACAAAUUCACCUCCACCAUCCGUUUGGAAAGCUUUAAUCUUAACACUGAACAUGUUUUCAACGAGGUUUUUAAAAGUGACGAAAGUAGAGAAAACAUCAGAUUUUAAUCGGAGUGGAUACAACCAAGUAUAACGAGAAUAAUCGUCCACAAAAAUCACAUAAUACUUAUAACCAGAAAUGGAGAGAGAGGGAGACAUCCAAACAUCACAGUGAAUUAAUUCUAAAGGUGAAGCAGCCAUGGAGGAAGAUAAAGAAAAUGGCAAUUUAUGACUUUUACCUAAAGGACAAAAUUGACAAAACUUACUAGAAAUUGAGCCUUUAAUUGGCAAUUUAUUUGCAGACACUAAAUGUUGUAAAAUGGAAAACGAAACAUGACCUAACCUAGAAUGCCACAAGGCAUCCGAGACACGUUCACCAACACAAGCAAAAACACCAGAAGGUUGAUGAGAGGAAUGGGAAGGAUAGAGUCCAUUGUUACUAGGGCCUUGGAAAAGGAUCUUCCCCGUCCGCGAAUCCUGCACACGAUAAAAACGAGGGUGGAUAGUAAAGAAACAGUCAUUAUCAGCAGCAAAACGAUUUAAAGAUAUGAUAUUAGUGGAAGCAUGAGGGCAGUAGAGAGUAUUCAGUAAUAAAAAAAAAGCGAGUUUAGUGUGAAGAAACGAAUCACCAAUUUUGGAGAUGUGCAAACCUGAACCACCAUGAAUAACACCAAUCUGAUCAGUUCCAUGAUACUCACGAGGAUUAGAAAGCUGACCCACAUCAUUGGUUAUGUGGGAAUUGGCGCCAGAGUCAAAGAGCCAUGGUUGAGCAGGCGAGGCAGAAGGAGCAUGAGGGACACCACGGGACUGAGGUGCAGCCGCAUAAGCCUGAAGAUGAGACGAAGGAACCCUGCCUUCAUAGGACAUGUUGAGACGAUUGUAACAAUCAAUAGCGGAGUGACCAUAACGCUGACAAAUCUGGCACUGAAUACGACCAGAUGGGGAGAACGCAGGGGCAGGAGAGAAGCCACCUGAAGCAGGAGCAGGGCUGAGGAUGCCAUUGGAGGAAGCAGGCUGUCCACGGGAGGAAGCGGCUGGCGAAGAAGAAUGGGAAAAAUCACCAUGAUAGUUGCGAGAGGAACCAGAACCACGAGCGUAGCCGCCACCACAACCACCCCGAAACGCGCCGCCACGGCCGUGAGACGUACCACGGCCACCACGCACAGCAGCAAACGCAGAAGUACCGACGUCAGAGGGAAGAAAGAAAGCAGUGUGACGUUGUUCGGCGCUAAGAAGUAAAGAUUCCAAGGCAGUGUAAGUGAUGGGAGUAUCACGGGCUUGGGCAGAAGCAACGGUGGUCUCAAACUGUGGUCUCAAACUGAGGACCAACCUUACUCAUAAUAAUGGCAACCAAGUCUGAUUUAGAAACUGGGGCGCCAGAGAUGGCAAAGUUGUCGGCAAGAAUAUUCACCUUGUCGAGAUAGUCGGCAAUAGAGAGAUCACCACGAGAGGUAUUCAUCAAUUCUGUUCGCAUUUGAAUAAUACGGUUCUGAGAGGUAGAGGCAUAGCGUUCCUGAAGAGACAACCAAGCAGAGGCCGAAUCAAUUUUGUUGACAAUAGUAGCAAGGACCUUGGGAGUAAGAGAACUAGUAAUCCAAGAGAGGAUCAUCUGAUCAGUUUGGAUCCAGUCAAGAUACGACGGAUUGACGGUGUCGGUAAUGGUACCCUUGUCAUCAGAAAGAAAAGCAGAAGGGCAUUUAUGUUCACCAGUAACAAAGGAGAGAAGGUUGCGGCUGCGCAGCAAGGGAAGAAACUGAGCACGCCAUAGGGGAUAGUUGUUGCGAUCGAGUUUUAUGGUAAGAAAAUUCGUAACUGAGGGAGCAGCAGCAGUAAAGGUAGAAGAAGAGGACGCCAUACUGGGAAGAGAACGGAGAGAGAAAAAAAUAAAAAAAAUAAAAAUUAAACGAUGAACCGUUGUCGUAAGACGCUGGCUCGUGAUACCAUGAAAGAUAUGAUUUCUGAAACUCAACUCAAUGAUUUGAGUGAGCCAAUUAGUAUUGAUAUAUAUAGCAUUACAAAGUAGACAUGUAGUAGAAUACAGAAAGUUCAAUUACAAGCAGUAUCGGAAACAAACUACUAAUCAAACUAGAACUCGGCUGCUGCUCAAGUAUCUGUAUAGGAAUGAACAUCCUGAGCGGAGAAGGAUGGAACAUCCUUGUUCUUGUGGGAGACUGGUUUAUCAGUAUCCUUAUGGAUUCCCAGAUGAAUCCUCAAAAUUUUGUUCUCAUCCGUUAGCUUAUGCACAUAGGACAAAAGCGGUUCAAUUGUUUCACACUUCUCAUUGUUUCUCCUUAUCAACUCAGCUCAUUGCUGCAUAUUUCGUCCAUGAGUUCCAAGAUCUUUUCAUGCAACAUUUUAUCUUUUUCAACCAUAUUACCAUCAGAUUCUACCCCAUGAUCAAUACUCUCUUUUUCCAUAUAUUCUUCAAAAGUACACAAACCAACCUUUUUUAGGAUAGACCAGCAUUUGUUUGUUUUGAUGGCACUGAAUUUUGUUUCCGUUUUCUCUUUUGUGGUAGUCUGAUAAAGAUGCACUCCAAAAAAUAAUUUGAGUGCCUAUACAGAUGAACAUCGCAUAAAAAUCAAAAAAUCAAAAAUCAAAAACAGCAGCAGAGAUAAAAAAAAAUGACAAUAAUUCUAAAAAAAUUUAAAUAAAAAACAGGAACCUCUGUGAGUUAAUUUUUUGGGCAAAAAAAAUUCUAUUAAUGCAUUCUCAUACAAAAAAUUUCUUUAAAUACUGAUUUCAUGCAAUCUAGGAGCUAAGUGCUUAAAUCAGAAAAUUUUCUUUAACCCAGAUACUCUUGUACUGCAGUGCAGCAAAGUUUUUCUUGAACCCUGACGAAUAUUGCUCUAAAAAUAUCCCAAAUAUAUCUCAGAGAUUGCAGAGAUUCAGACAAUCAAUAAUGGGACAACCGGAAUGUUCCUUGUUCGUUUGUCCUCCAUACUCUACCCUAAUCUUCUUAGGAUUUUAGUUAAACAACUUGCUCCUGUAACAGCUAUAUUAAAGCAUAAAUAUUCAUGAACACUCAUCACCAAUAGCAAAAAGGCACAAAGUAUUUUUACAGAAAUCUAAAGAUCCCUUUUGUGUCCCAAACCCAGGUCUGUCCACUAUUUGCCUUCCUCCUUCAGGGCAUAAUUAGAGAUACCCGCCAACAGUAUAACCAAAAAAAUUGCAGUGAGAUUUUAAAAUACGAACUUUAUUUGAUAUUGCAAUGAAAUAUAACAAAAUGUACAAAAAUUGUUAUUUUGGUAAACAAAUAGACAGUGGAAUAACAGAAGAAGCCGAACCCAGAAAAAAUAAAAACACAGAAUCACAGUAGAAGAAGCAAACCCAAGAAAAUACAGAAAAUAAAACAAAAAGGGUGCAACUUUUAUUGACGGGUGAAUGAGUAGACAAUAAAAAAAAUGCAAACUUUGAGUUCAAAACAAACCUUGUACCGUUUGAAAUUUGAGACUUGGAGUCGCCCACGGGAAGGGUUUUAUGAGAAGACAGUAUUAGGCGUGCUGAAGUUAGUUUAUGCUUUUAGUUGUAAAUUCACAUCUAAUACUGGUUGAACACAAAUUUCAGCAAAUACACAGAAGAAAUAGCAAGAAUUGAUUUCAGAAUUGGGAAAAAAUUAAAUUAAAAAUAGAAAACAAAGGGUCGAAAAGCUGCAUACCUAAACACCAUUUCAUAUCUUUUUAUCCUCUUCGAGUACCGAUCGAUUCCAUAGAGAGGGAGAGAGGAGGGAGACGACGAAGGGGAGAGGAGGGAGAGGAAGGCGAGAGGAGGAGAACGACUGAGGCGAUUUACUGUCUGUGUGGUUCUCGCGGGGACUGCGAGGUGAACUAGGAGAGGAAUGACCAGGUGGCUCUGGGCUUGAGGUCAGAGAGAAAAUGAGAGACCUAAACGGCUAGGGUUGGAAAUGAGAAUCUGGGCUCAGGGGCACAGAAGAUUUGGAAAUGAUUUUUACCUUUCAAUUUGGAAAUGAUUUUUGCUGACCACUGCUAUGUUCUGUGAUUUCUUCGAUCACAAGAAAUCAAGUUGGUCUCAAAUUGUAACCGUUUGGGUUCAAUUUGCGAUUUACAGCUUUUAAGUAGUAUUUUAUUUUACUAGUUUCUCUGUUAAUGCCAAGUGGCAAGUGACACAUGCGUAGUAUUUUAUUUUACUAGUUUCUCUGAGUAUGAACCUGUAAACUUGGUUAUAGGAUUAGAGAUUGAAUACGAAGUCUUGUUGAGAAUGGAUUUAUGAAUCCAUAUUGUAACUGAACUACUAUUUAAAAGAAAUUGGUUUUCUGUAUGGAUUUUAAUAGAGAAUUUCUUAUAGAAUUUGGCUAGGAUUAUGUAGUAUAUAUAUGAUGGCCUCUGUUCUCACAGUGUGUGUACUCUACUCAGAACUAAUACCUAUUAUUAGUUGAGAACCUUGAACACUGAAGAGAAGAGAAGGUGCACUGCAGGAUUCUUGUAGAAAAUCGAGCAUGGCGUCCAGUUCCGGUUCAUCUGCAGGUACGGUUUUCUCCGUACAUUGGUUUAAUGAACAAUGAUUUGUGUUUUGAUAACAGUAGCUCAUAUAACUUGUUAUUGGUUUAUGUUUAUUCUAACAUUCAAGUCAUUGACCCUUGAAGAAGGGGCUAGCAAAUCAGCUUAUGCCAUCUGGGAGUCAUCAAUUGGAACGUACAUUCGUGAUAUCUAAACAAUAAAACAUUUGACCAAUAAAAGAAAGAUCCAAACAAAGACUUGUCCAGCACUCAAAAUUUCCCACUAUAUAAAACCCAUUGAGCUCUUCCAUUUCCUCACACUUCCGAUCACAAAAACUUCACUAUAUUAAAUUGAGAAGAAAAAAAUGAGCCAAACAGCAGGUAGGCUAAUGAAGCCUGGUUUAGCGUUUGUGUUUGGGACCAUGUUUGGAGCUUUCAUCACCAGAGCUAGUCUGCACCGUUGCCACCACCGCUUUCACGACCACGAAGGUGAUCGGAAGCAUUGGCCUUGUCCUCGCCAAGCUCAGGAUAAAAAGAUUGGUUCAAGCCCAGGAGGGCUGGAAACUACAACCACUAGAAACAUGGAAAACUAGCCCCAUGCUUGCGACAACGACUUAUAUAACAUAGUUACACCAUUACGAUGGUUCUAUUCUAAUGAAAUAAAGACAUGGGUAAACUUUUGUCUACAUAUCCUUAUUUCAUUGACAUAAAAUACUAUGUAGUAGUGUAGCUGUGCCAUCUAAGUUGUUUUCCAUGCAUGCAUCGUGCAUGGUCCAAGUUCAAAAAUCAGCCCAGCUGGCUAGCUUUGCUUCUAAUUUUAUAUGCUUCUGUUGUAUUACAUGAGUAGUAUGUAUUUGGGUUUUUAUCAGAAAUCAGCCCAGCUAGGUAGUUUGAUUUGUUGGCCGAUUGUUUCGGUUCUUUUUUGGCUUUUCUUAUUGUUUAGCGUGCAAAUUGGUUUGUUAAUGAAACUUAGUGAGGAAAUGAAGUCAUCAUGGUUUGUAAUUUUCAAAUGAUGAUUUUUUUUUUUUUAUAAUUUUUCUAGCAAAUACUGUGAGAAUUUUGGUUAUCCUAAAUCACAUUUAGCACUCUAAACACACAACUUAUUGUCGGCUGAAAUUAUAAUUAAGGUAUUUUAAAGAAUUGACUGGUAUUAGCACUUGCUUAUGUGCCAAAGAGCAAAUUAAGAGCGUUUAUCCCUACAUUUGAGACUAACUUGACAAAGAUUUGGGUCACUAAAGAUGCCUCCUCCCAUCAUGAAAAGUGAAAACCAAUAUAUUCGAGGUAAUGCUAGGGAAACUAAAUUUGUAGACAAAAUUUACAAACUAAAUGAUGUGUCGUCAACGUCCAACUUUAAUAUAUAAAGGAAAUUUGCCCAAAAACAGUGCCAAAUUAAUCAAGACUAAAUUUUUACAUUACAGUUUAAGAGACCCUAAAACGUUUCCGAAAACUGCAAAGCACCACAGGAUUAUGCCAGCAUCCAACUAAUUAAUCGACGGUUCAGCUUCUCUAUGUUUAGUUGAUGAAGUAGCCAACCAAGAUGCCCAGAAGACCGAACAGCACCACAAACAACAACGAAAAUCCGCCACCGCCGUUUUUGCUAAUUUCUUUUCUCAACACAUCCUGCUCAAAUUCAAAAUUUUCUCUUAUUGCCAAAAGGAAAUAAACGAAAACAAACAUGAAAAUGAACUCCGAUAAAGGGGAACUGAAGCAUCAAACACCCAACAAUACAAAUAGAAACAACAGUUCAUAAAAAGGAGAUUGACAGCUGAUGAAGUUAAACGGGGAUACAUACUAGUAGAACCGUUAGCAUAGGGACAAUCAAAAGCAUGAGGCUUGGAUAUACGUAAGAAACUAAGAAUUAAACAAAAGCUGAGCUGAUCUUCCUCCGUCAAUCAAGUCAGUGGAAUGCUCACAAAAUCCUUCACUCAAUCGAGUCAGUGACAACCUCCCUCAAUUUCCUCCCUCACCCUCUGCAACACUGGCACAUCCCUCACCUAUUCGCUCAAUCCCAUCGAACCCACACAACCCCAAACUCUCCCAAAAUAGAGAAUGACCAAAAUACCCAUGUCAAUAGGCAUUUCACGUUCAGGGCUUUAACCAUUUAUUGGACACCACCGAAGCCCACUUCGGACCCAAAUUCUAAUCAAUGGCAGAGAUGUAAAUAUUACGAAAUCAAAGGAAAUUCAUUGUAGCUUAGGAACAUACCCAUGUCGUACUACUUUAGAUUCGGAUGGUCUGUCUAUUCACACCGGUGGGUGGUGGUAGUGCCUAGUGGUGGCUUGCCGCCGUCUAUAAUGUCUAUAAUUCUAUCAGUCAAUUGGUUUCUUCUAUAAAAUGUGUGGCCUUAUGCUUUGUUUAUUGGAUAUUUAUAAUAUUAUACAAUUCCAAUUACUUUAGUCGGAAGAAGGAAAUCCAAUUGCACUGUUCAACUGAACAGUGUUUUGGACCGAAUUUCACUUUGUUUACAAAAAUUUCCACCACCCCUAUAUGUCGUUCAGAUAGAAAAUUUCAAUUUAUUUACGAAAUUGCCACCGUUUUACACAGGGGAAGGGCGCCCACGAGUCAAUCAUCUUGGAUUCUGCGUCGACUACUUUUCCGUUUCCAUCCCCUAUUAUUUCCCUUUCUCGACUCUGUUUCCGUAACCAUCCAUCAAAUACCCCGUCCCUCCUCCCUUAGAUCCCUCACCGAUUCUGUCUCUCGCCAUUCUCAGUCUCGCCAACCGCGAACCCCUUGACAGCUUGCAGCUCUAUGCUCCACCUCCAGAUUCGUCGCAUAUACCAGCCGAGACUGUCGUCAUCGUCACCCUAUGAACAAUUCCAUGCUCAGAAAUCAGAGAUGAGAGCCCCAAGACAGUCGCCUGCACCACCGUCUUAGAAAAGUGAGCCAAAAUCUCGCGAGAUUCAAGCCGCGCACGAGCGAAUCCGAAGGACAAACCUCCGAUAAAAAUUUCUCAUCCUCUCUCUUCAAUUUCAUAUUUGUUGUUAGAUUAAAAGGGAAAAAUAUGAGAACUAACUCGAGCAAAUGUUCUGGAUGUAAGCUAAAAGAUCAAUUUAGCUUUUCUUCCCUGUCAAUUUAGUGCUUUUUCUUUUCUUAUUACCUUUAGGAGUUAAUUUUUUGAGAUAUAAUAUGACUAACAAAUUUACUGUUGCCUCUGUCAUCUUUUUUGCUGAAGAUUUCUUUUUUAAAAAUUGUAUGCCAUGACAAAAUAAGGGUUGUAUUCAAUUGAAAAUUUGAGAGAUUUUAAUGAAUUUAUAAAUCCAUGAAUUUUUAUGGAGUUUAAUUGAUAUGUAGAGAUUUCAUAUAAAAUUUUGAUUCAAUUCUCUCAAAAUCUCAUGGGGAGAGGUGAGAUUUGUAGAUGCUUAAAAUACACUACGAAAUAUCUCAAAUUCCCUCUAAUUCCUCAACUUUCUCAAAUUCUUUAAAAUCAAUUUCUAAUUGAAUACACCUAGAAUGUUAUAAACUUUUUUAAAAUCCUAAUUGAAUACACCGGAUUUCUAAGGAUUUUAAUAAACUAUCUUAAAAUUAUAAUUGAAUACAUAUUGAAUUUCAGAGAAUCACUUAAAAAUCCUAAUUGAAUACCCCUAGAUUCAUAUAAAGAAUUAAAAUCCCUCAAAAUCCCAAUUGAAUACACCCCUAAAUUUACAAAUUGCUAAUUUUCUGUUUUGUAUAAAAUCUUUGUUCACUCUACCUGAACAGGUACACUUGACUGAUAAGGAAAGUCUUCAUAUUAAAUCCAUGUUAGCCUCUAUCGUGUUCUUUGUAUUUCGUUAUCUGAACUCUGUUAUUUGAAUUUGGUCACCUGAAUUGUGCCUAAUAUUUGAUGUGGCUAGUAGCCUUGUAUGGUUGGCUGGUGUGAUUUGGGAGUGCUUUUGGUCAAUGGGAGACAGGGGACACAGGUGUGGAGCAGCAAAGUCAAGUGGGAUUAGGAAUUUAGGAUGGUAGAAUUUUUGCUAAUUUAUGGGAUUAGAAGUCUUCCUUUAUUUUUGUCUUGGUGUGAUCAAUUGUAACAAAGAAUUUUCAUUAAAUUGAGGUAGUGAACCUACUAAUUUUCAUAUGUUGUUUGUCUACAGUCUUCUCCAUUCUCUUGGACCAAGCAUGAAAUCCCAAGCACUAUAUCACCACAAAGCAAGCAAGCUGAAAGCAAUCCAAAGAAACCCUUUUUCCAGAAGCACUUAACAAAACCUUUCUAUGGAUGAAUUGUUGUUUCAAUUAUACCAGAUUGAAAACAAGUAUGGAACCAUUGAUCAAGCAUACGGGGCUGUCGCCCAAACCUAUAUUAAGUGGGCAACAAGCAUGGUUGUGUCCUUAGAUACAGGUGUGCCCUGUUAAAUGUAAUCUUGUCUUGGCCCAAAAUAAUGGAUCCAGCCCAUGCACAAAGAAAGAUUCAUGCACAUGCUAGAGAAUUUUAGUAAAGUUCAAGUUGGUGGAAGAGUCUAGAAGAAUGAUGAAGAUUCCACCAACAUACAAGAUUAGUGUAGAUAAUACUAGCAUAGAAAGGUAGUGGAAUUAUCUAGAUAUAUCUAGCAUGAUGUUUCCAUGCUUCUCCAAGGUUCCAUCCAUGCCUAUAAAAGGAGGAGGCAUCCACACCAUUUGGAACAACCAAGAGAGCAAGUAGUGAGAAGUGAGAAGAAGCAACAAAGCUUCUAAGAGUGUUUGAGUGUUUCCUCUUGUACUAAGUUUGUUAGUGAAUAAAAAUCUUGUGUAAUACAUUGAGUGUACUUUCUUUCUCUUGCUUAUCAGUUCCGCUGCAUUACAUUAUUCUUUGUGAGAUAAACGUUUCCAAAGUAGUGAAGUCUUUUUAAGCCCCAAUAUGCCCUAGGUCAUGUGCCAACAAGACGAUGCUCCUGCAUCCGCGGUGAGGCUUUUGUAGUAUGUUUUCAUUUGUAUUGUAUUGUAUUGACUUUGACCUUUUUGAUCAACGUCCAAUAGCAGUAGGUGCAGUAAUUCUCAAACCCUAAUUUUAACUGUUUGGAUCAUUGCAGAUUUGGGUUAUUUAUUUAUUUAUUUUAAUUGCGUUGCUUCUACUUGCUGUAUAUUGGCUGAUGGAUUUCAGAGUAUUUUUUGUUUUGUGACUGGAUUUCGUUGUGUCGGAUUAGUUUGGUUUGCUAUGAUCGGUGAACCUUAUGUUAUUUUUUAUGGGUUUGGUUAACAUGGUUUUCAUUCCUUUUCAGAUUUGUUUCGACACACACUUCUCAAAAUUUGCGGGAUGCUAUGAUGAUAUUUUCUAUGAUGUAAACAAAUUAACUAUUUAAUGUCAAUAGUUUGUGUUAUAUAAAGCUACGCAUGUUAGGAGUAAAGUAAUUUAUUAUUUGUUCUUAGCCCCUGGUUUAUAAAUCCCAACUUUAAAAUUCCCAGUGGAUGUGUCUGUUAAUCGAUUGCGUUUGGGAUAGAAAUUUGUGUGUUUUAUUUAUUUAUUUAUUCGGGUUUUUGUAGCUGAUGCUGAUACAUAUUAGGUUUUGUGUUACUGGGUUUUAUCACUAAUUAAUUGUCAAUUGGAUUUUCCGGUUUCAAAAAUAGGUGAGGCGUCGACUAAUCAGCUGGCUGAUCAGCAGAUGCCAGUGUAUAAUCUUGCAUCGAAGAUUCUUUGUUGGGUUAUCAAUGUAUUAUUGAAGGUUGUGGUGGCUGAUCUGAUAAAGAAAACUAAGAAUUUUAGAUUUAAUUGUUUAGCUGCUUCUUUUCUACUCAAGUUAUUGGGCUUUGCAAGGGAAUAAUAUGUUUCUUUCUGCUGAAUUAUAGGCUGAACCAGACACUGAAGAAUUAUUUGCACAACUCACUUUACUUCCCAAAUCAAAUGUAAGUUGUUAGCUUGAGAAUUCUGAUUUAUUGUGGGCGGGUAAAAUUGAUUAUGGGUUGAGAUUCUGUUGGUUUGAUGUUCUUAUAAAUUUGAGCAAGAUGAGAAUGCAGUGGAGAAGGAAAUAACAUAGGCACGCGUCCUUAAAUGUGAAAAGACUUUGGUUAGGCAAAGCCAAAUUAAGGAAGAGAAGAAUAGGUAGAGGCUAAAACCUAAUCAAGUGGAAAUUUUAGGUAUAAAAUGUGCAGUGAGUCAAGAAAUUAUACAAUGGUGUCCAGCUGCUUUCCACCACGGCCACGUUAAACGGCUUAGUUCUUUUUCCAAGUGCAAGAAAUAAAUGGCACUUGAAUCAUAGAAAUAUUAACAUCUAUAUACUCAAAUGAAAAAAACUGCAUAUUUGAAAGGAAAAAACACACCAGCACACACUUGGAAAUAGCUGGAGAUAUUGGCAAACCUCACAAUGUAUAUGCAUGCUUUAGCGAUAUUUAUAAUGAGGAUAUUUAUAUUGGCAAACCUCACUUAUGCUCUGUACACAUUCUACUGUUUAAGUAAUGAACAAAACUAUUCUCAAUGUCUCUAGUUAUUCAUUUAUUAUCUUCAACGAUUUCGAAACCUGCUACUAUAGUUUACAGAAUGGUUAUGUCACACUCUGCUAUUCUUCCUGUCAGAAUCGGGAAGGUUUGCAUCUAUUCAAAUAAUGACUUCUAAAUUUUGUCUUUACAGGGAGGCUUGAUUGAUAGUGACGCUUUAACCCACAAGAGGAAUGUUAAUACCACAACGCAGUUCAAGUUGGGCCACUGGUGACUUUUCUGCUUAAAUGGAUUCAUCAACUCAAUUUUGUCGUUAAUUUUUGUUUUGAGUCCAUUUUCCUUGAUGAUGUUGUAUUAGGAUUUUAAGCUUAGUCGUUCAGGCGUGACACAUUUUCAGUGGGAAGUCACAAGCAUAAUUCAUUUUUCUUAAAUUAGACUCAAGAUUUUUAUGUGCAUUAUUCUUCUGUUUUACGAAUAUAAUUGGCUAAGCCUUAAUGAUAUUGUUGACGAAUCUUCACAAAAGGAUUUAAUUGCCUAAGCCUUAUAUGUUCAUCCGUUUUACGAAUUUAAUUGGCUAAGCCUUAUAUGUUCAUCUUUUGUGAGUAUUCAUUCUAGGAUUCUUCACAAAUUUCUGAGAAUUUCAUUUGAUCCAUACUAUGGCCGUUGAAAUGUUAGUACCUUUUUUAAAUUCAAUUUUUUUUAUUUACAGAAUUGUAUAAUCCUACAAGAAGAGAAGAGAACAUGUGAUCACCUACAAGAGUGGGUCGUCAAAAACACAAAUAGAUUUUCUUCUAAUGAGGAAAGGGGACCGUAUAACUUGUAAGGAUUGCAAAGUUAUACGGGGAGAGAGCUUGGCUAAUCAACAUCGCUUGUUGGUGAUGGAUGUACAUAUCAAAAGAGAGAGAAAAAAGAACAAGACUUGGAAGUGCCCAAGGACUAGAUGGUGGAAUCUAAAAGGAGAAAAACAAGCCAUUUUCAAAGAGACAGUAAUCACCCAAUGCGUGUGGGAUAGAGAGGGGGAAGCUAGCCAAAGGUGGGAUUCCAUGGCUAGUUGUAUCUGAAAAGUAGCAAAAGAGGUAUUAGGAGAGUCCAAGGGCUUUGCUCCACACCAAAAGGAAUCUUGGUGGUGGAAUGAGGAGGUACAAACAAAGGUGAAGGCUAAGAAGGAAUGUUGUAAAGCCUUAUACAAGGAUACGACCAAUGAAAAUGGUGAAAGGUAUAGAAAAGCAAAGCAAGAGGUGAAGAAAGCUGUGAGAGAAGCUAAGCUAGCGGCUUAUGACGAUAUGUAUAAGCGACUAGAUACCAAAGAAUGAGAGUUGGAUAUCUAUAAACUAGCUAAAUCAAGGGAAAAGAAGACAAGGGACCUAAACCAAGUGAGGUGCAUCAAUGAUGAGGAUGGAAAGGUUCUUGCUACAGAGAACGCGGUCAAAGACAGAUGGGGAGGUUAUUUUCAUAAUCUUUUCAAUGAAGGACAUGAAAGGAGUACUUCUUUAGGGGAGUUAAGUAACUCAGAAGAGUGUAGAAACUACUCCUUUUACCGCCAAAUUAGGAGGGAAGAAGUGGUUGUAGCUUUGAAAAAGAUGAAGCAUAGAAACGCGAUGGGCCCAAAUGAUAUACCGAUUAAAGUGUGGAAAGUCUUGGGAGAGACGGGUAUAGCAUGGCUCACUGACCUUUUCAAUAGGAUUUUGAAAACGAAGAAGAUGCCAAAUGAGUGGCGAAAGAGCACUUUGGUGCCUAUCUACAAGAAUAAGGGUGACGUACAAAAUUGCAUGAACUAUAGGGGUAUUAAGCUAAUGAGCCAUACAAUGAAGCUCUGGGAGAGAGUCAUUGAGCAUAGAUUGAGGCAAGAGACACAGGUUUCGGACAACCAAUUCGGAUUCAUGCCAGGGCGCUCAACCAUGGAGGCAAUCUAUCUCUUACGAAGAUUGAUGGAAAGAUAUAGAGAUGGGAAAAAGGAUUUACACAUGGUCUUUAUAGAUUUGGAAAAAGCGUAUGAUAGGGUCCUAAGAGACAUUCUUUGGAAGAUUUUAGAGAAGAAAGGAGUACGAGUAGCAUAUAUCCAAGCUAUAAAGAUAUGUAUGAUGGAGCAAGGACUGCCGUAAGAACUCAUGAAGGACAAACCAAAAGCUUCCCCAUAACUGUAGGGUUACAUCAAGGCUCAUCCUUAAGUCCUUACCUUUUUGCUUUUUGCAGUGGUAAUGGAUGAGUUAACAUGACAUAUUCAAGAUGAUAUUCCUUGGUGUAUGCUUUUCGCAGAUGAUAUAGUGUUGAUAGAUGAAACUCAGGAAUGGGUAAAUGUGAAGCUUAACCUUUGGAGAGAAGUGUUGGAUUAGGGGUGAGGAUCGGAGAUCAGGAAAUACCAAAGAGCGACCGUUUUUGCUACCUAGGAUCUAUCUUGCAAAAGAACGGAGAAUUAGAUGGAGACCUCAACCAUAUAAUACAAGCUGGAUGGAUGAAGUGGAAGGGUGCAUCAGGCGUGUUGUGUGACCGCCGUAUGCCACUGAAGCUCAAAGGAAAAUUUUAUAGGACGACAAUAAGGCUGGUGAUGCUGUAUGGCACAAAAUGUUGGGCGGUGAAGCAUCAACACGUACAUAAAAUGGGUAGCGAAGAUGAGGAUGCAUCGUUGGAUGUGUGGGCACACGAGAAAGGAUAAGAUUAGGAAUGAGGAUAUCCGAGGUAAAGUAGGAGUAGCCGAAAUUGAAGGAAAGAUGAGAGAAAAUCGGUUACGGUGGUUUGGACAUGUGCAAAGAAGGCCUACUGACGCUCCAGUUCGAAGAUGUGACUACGGGACAGAGGUUCGGGGCCGAAGGGGUAGAUGAAGACCUAGGAAAACUUUGGAAGAGACCCUAAGAAAAGACUUAGAGUACUUGGAUCUCACGGAGGACAUGACAGAGAACCGAGCACAAUGGCGUUCGAGGAUUCAUAUAGCCGACCCCACUUAGUGGGAAAAGGCUUUGUUGUUGUUGUUGUUGUACAAAAUUGUAUAAUCCUUUUGAAGCAGUGGGGAGCUGCGGUUUCACUCACGCUUUCAAAUUUUGACCACUCGCUCAUUGUAAUAUCUCUCUCUCUUUCUCUCUCUCCCUCCAUCCCUCCCUCCCUCCCCUAUUACAUUUGGGUUUUCUCCUGUUUCUCUUUUUGUUGAUCUAAUUUGUGGUGAAGCUGUUUAGUUUGCUUGAAUUGGAAUGUGGGUUUAAUUGAGUUUCCUUUUGUUUGUCAAUUCGAUUUUGGGAGGAUUGGCAUGUGGUUGUUCAGGCCUUUACAACCACUUUGUGUCUGGCAAAGGUAAUAAUAUUACUCUUCGUUUCAUAAGCUUCAUUUUUAAUGCCCAGAAAAAUUUGGAAUUGAGAACAUGAUGGGGUUUUAGGCAAUACCUAAGUUCUGUAAUUUUCCCCGUUUGUUGUUAUUAGCAAUUUCUUGAAUCAUGUUAGUUUGAUAGUGUUCUGCUGCCCAGGAUUUUUUUUUUGAAUUUAAAAUAUCAUGGGAUUGGGGUUUUAAGAUUUUAACAACAAUUGGUAAGAAUUUUGGUGAAUUUUGAUGCUCAAUGGACUUUGUUGAAAAUUUGGAAUUAAGACCAUGAUGGGGUUUUGGGCAAUACCCAAGUUCUGUAAUUUUCCCCGUUUGUUGUUACUAGCAAUUUCUUCGUUCAUGUUAGUUUGAUAGUUUUUUGCUGCGCAUAUUUUUUUUUUUUGAAUUUAAAAUAUCAUGGGAUUGGGAUUUUAAGAUUUUAACAACAAUUGAUAUGAAUUUUGGUGAAUUUUGAUGCUCAAUGGACUUCGUUAACAGCUUCUAACUUUGUUAUGCAUUGAAAUAUUGGUGGGUUUUCGUCAGAGUUUGCUUAUAUCUUUGUAUAGUAUGUCUGUUGUAUUAUCUUGUCACAGAUACCUUAGUUCAGUAACUUGAGAAGCAGGGGGAGAUAAUAGACUAAUCAAGGAGGUGCAUGUGAUAAACGAUAAACAAGUAAGCAUCAUCCUCUUCCUUCUUUUGUUAUGGUUGGUUGUAUAGAGAAUUGAGAAAAAAGUUGAAGACAAUUUUGCGCUUUUGAGUUAUAUCAAUAAAAUGACAUUGAUUAGUUCACUUAAGUGUUGAAUCAUUCGUUAGUUUAUCUGUGGUGUGUGCUUGAGAAUGAAAGCAAUGGACUUUAUAUGGAAUUGAUGUUCCUUUUAAUGUCACUAAAGAAAGGAGUUGUUCCUUUAUUAGCAAUUAUAUGAAGUAGGCAUAUUAUGCAAUACAAUGUCUACAAUCGACUAUUUUACUUUUUGUAUAGUACAACUGUUGAUCGAAAGCCACAGAAACUACCUAAAGGUCAAAGAACUGUUUGUGUUAGAAGAACAGAAUAUGGUGUAAAGCUUAAAUUUUGGGCACUUUUUUUCAAUUACAAUAACUUGCAUGAAAGUUCAAUUGGGUUUGUUAUGGUCUCCAAGAAUUUUGGUUUGUUUGGUUACUAAUUAAUUUAUGUGGUGGGAGUUUAGUUUUUCCUUUUCUGCCUAUUUAUCUAUGAUUCAAAAUGGACCGUACAAUUUGCUAUAUAUAAAUUUGUAAUAAAAAAGCUCGAAAAAGAGGUGAAUUAGAAACAGUGAUGAUAGAGUGAUGGAGUUGAGAAGUCAAGAGUUUACGGGGUUUACUUGAAUUUUUGUAUGAUGUCCCUGGUAUGUUAGAUCAUUGAGACUAACUGUCUAGUUGGUUAAUCACUAAUUUGAAGUAUUUAAAGUGUAACUUUCCUUUAAAUCCUUUUCCUUUUGUAUUUUCAUUGGAGCACAGAUAAAAUAUAUUUCUUUUAUCUUUUUCAACCCCAAACUUUCAUUGUCUUCUGAGAGUGGUCCAACUAGAGAAUUGGAUGACAAGUUUAGGUUUAAUACAUACUUGAGUUCCCACAAGGAAGAUGGUAUUUUAGAAGUUACCAAAUUGGACACUAAGGAUAGACUUCUUAAAGAUACUGCUACAGUACCCAAGCAGGAAGGAAUAGAACCAGAUAGACUAUUACCGCCCAAAAAUAAAUUGGCUAGGUUGUUUAGUUGACAGAGUUCAUACGGGAUAUGUCCUCCCAGUUCGUUAUCAUUCAAUACAAACCUUGGAGAUUUUGUAGCUGUCACACCCUGAUCCCGACAUACGUUCAGGAUCGAUACGUGACGUCACAAAAAACUCGUGUCUCUCACAUGCCCCGCCUCCAAGAUAUGGCAAAUUACAACUCGAGAAUCAAAUUGCAAAUAAAUUUUUCGUAUACUUUAGGGCUGCAUCUAACUUCCUCGUUAGACUGCCUACGUACCCUCAUUAGGGAUCAAGCCAUUCGUAGUUCGUUAUUCACUAAUUUAGACAAUUAUUCCAGUGCGUUCUAACAGGAAUACAUAACAUUUUGUAAUAAAUUAUUAGAACUUGACAUGCAUGACAUUACCAAGUUCCGGCUACAAAACAAACCAACAUACUGUUCAAAAUUCUCAUUCCAUCCAUCAUAUAAAUUCCAUAUUUUCAGCACGAUACUUCCAUUCACAACAUGUAACAUAUCAAAUAACCAACGAAGCACAUAAUAUUCUCAAGCCACAUUGAUCAACUAAAAAUAAUCAUAAUAAUAACAACCAUAACCAAGGUCAUUCCCCAAUCUCGUCAAUCAAUCAAUUCAUGAAUUAAAGAUACAUGAUCUUAGCAUUUAAUUAUGUUAAUCAAUGCAUGUAGUAACAUAUCAUUUCACAAUUUAACCCAGGGAACUCUAUAUAAUACCCUUCUUGGAUUAUGAGCAAUAACAUGGUAAAUCUAUUUUAUAUUCACAAGGUCUAAUGUGGAUAAUUCUCAUUCACUUGGAUCUAGAGUUCUAGACUAACCCUUUGGAAAUAUGUGAGAGUAAGGAUUCCGGACCACUUAACAGAAUCCAACCAAAUCGGGUUCCGGACCACUCAACGGAACCACCAUGUCAAUCGGUUUCUCGUAAUCUAUCCAGACCUGUUGUAUGUAGAAUCAGUGCCAUCGAUCACAGUUAUAAAUCUCAAAUAUAAGUUCAUAAAUAUGAAUACAUAGACAAGUCUUAAUAACUCUGAAGGAAUCACCCAGACAUCCAACGACUUUUAUAAUUCAAACCACAAGAUUCUCAAAAUCCAUCGUUCAUAUGUACAUUAAACGCUAGGGUUAGAGGAACGCAGUUGGGCUGAAGCCUACAUAAGUAACCAAACAGGAAUAAGUAACCAAACAGGAAGUGGCCCCCCAAAGUGGAUUAACCAAGCAAAGACACCCUUGAGAAAAUAACCAAGUAGACAGUGACCUCCCAAUGCGGAUUAACCAAGCACAGUCACUCAUAUAGCUGUUAGAAAGUGAUCACCCAAUGCAGAUUAACCAAGCAUGAUCACUCUUAAGCAUACAUGCCAUAAGAAUCGCCCAAUGCGGAUUAACCAAGCGCGAUCCAUAUAUAGUAUGGUCCCUCAAUGCGGAUUAACCAAGCAGGACCACUAUUGACCCCCCAAUGUGGAUUAACCAAGCAGGGUCAAAAUAACUAAGUAGGUAGAGACUCCCCAAUGCGGAUUAACCAAGCAGAGUCACACCUACAAAACUGUUAGGCAGUGAUCACCCAAUGCGGAUUAACCAAGCAUGAUCAUCCCUAAGUAUAAAUGGCCAUAAGGAUCGCCUAACGCGGAUUAACCAAGCAGGACCAUCCGUGUACCGCUGCUACAUGGUGCAGAAAAUUCAAUACACACAACUUACCCAUCAUUUACCCCCAUGGGUUACAACAUAAUCACCUACACCAACAAUUCUCAUGCCCACCAACUCAAAUGCCCCACAAGCAUAUAAGUUCUACAAAAAUACUUCUAAUAGGAAUCUACGAUCAUAUUGUCACAACAUUUAUCGGACUUACCCUUCACGUUACUAAAAAGAUAAUUAAACGCACAUAUAUCACAAUCAUCAUCCGUACACAAGCCAAUUCAUGUUUAAUAAACAUAAGUCUAUGGCUAAACAUAUAUAUAUAAAUCAUAUUUCAAUAGAAAUCCUAUUUAUAAGGCCAAUUCAUAUUCACAAUUGAUAUCAAUAUAAGAAAUUAAGAUAAUAAACAAUAUCAAAAAUAUUCAAGUCACUCUCCAACCAAUGUAGGCCCACUCGACUUCACUUAAGUCUCCCGUAGUACUAAUUUUUGUAUCCAGAACGUCUCGAGACAUGUUGACCAAAAGUUAAACUCGAUUUAGUAAAUUCCACAAUUCUACACAAUUCAAUACGGAAAAUCAGAGCAAACGGAUUUAUACCUAUGAACCAAAGUCCACAUUAUGGCCUAGAAACAACCUCAAUUUCACUCAAUUCGCGUCGAAACCCUAGAAAAAGGUGCAGUUCAAUUCAACGUCAAGCUCAAUUCCGCCGCCUCCAAUGUCGAUUGGGCUUUGUUCCUGGACUCCAAAGACACCUGAGGGUGGUGAUGGUUGAAGAAAAUCCCUUCGGAAAUGAAACGGAUUGCCCCGUGGCAAACACCCAAAUUGUUCUUCUUCACGAAAUUACCCCCAAAUUCCUUCAAAUUUUGGAUGAAAAUGGAAGAGGGAAUGGCGAGAUGAUGCUCGGGCAUGUUAAAUUGGUCCAAUUCGACGGAAAUCCGAUGGAAAACCAUCGAAAAAUAUGGAAAAAUGGGUUGGGUCGCGCGGGUCAAGGAGAAGAACCGUUUUCCCCCUCCUUCUCACCUUCCCUCCCUUCCCUCCUUUCUCCCUUUCUGAUUGGGCACUCCCUUUUCUCUCCCCCCUUUUCAUUGGUUCCUUUAACUCACAUAAAUAUCCUUUUCCUCUUCCCCACCAGAAGGGAAUUUAUAAUAAAUUUAAAAUCUAUAGAUUAGUAACACAACUUCAAAUGUCCGUAUCUAUACCGUUAUAAUCCGGACUCGCAAAUGGCUUUUGCCUAUGUGCUCGUAGUUUCAAAAUCUAUUUGAAUACGUUACUUGUGACCUUGAAAGGUCAACGAAUUUUAGAUAAUUACUUUCCAAACUUCAAAUUUCAUAACUAAUUUAAUUAAACUCUAAAUUCAAACAAUUUAAAAUAAAUUCUCGAAAAAAUAAUAUAAAAUCUCAAUAAUACAAAUUUGUAGGUGAUAACAGUGAAAUCCAAGAACGGGAUUUCACAAUAGCCUUUGUAUUGAAGUUGGAAUUGCUCUGCUCAACUGAUUAUUUCCCAAGCUUAAAUCUAUCAAGUUGUUGAAGUUUCCAAUAUCAACGGGAAUGUUACCCUUGAUGUUGGAAAUGCUUAAAUCAAUAGACUACAACAGUUUGAGUAUUUUACGACUUGAAAUAUACGGUGUACAAACGGGCAUGCCUUAAAUGAUAUUAUUCAUGACAUUCAUAAAGUUCAUGUCGUAAUACUUGCUCAUAAUCUCGCAUUCACGACAUCACUUUUAUGCUAGUCAUUAAAUAAAAAAAAAUUUAAGUGUUGUGUGGCAUAUUUGACAAUUUAUACGAUGCACUUUCCUUCUCUUUUAAGGCUUUAUGUUAUGUCGUAGAGUAAAUUUUCUAUAUAUUUGGGUAACUACGUUUUAUAGCACGAAUAACACGUCAUAAAUAAUGGCGUCUAACUUCCGCCUAAAUUUCUCACCCCGUGCGUUCUUUUAUUUUUCUUGAAUCAAGAUCUCACGGCUUCCUCAACAUCCCUUUAUUUUUCUUUAAUAAAUGAUGAACCGGUACCCAGCCUGGACUGUUGAUUUCAGAUCCAAAGAUAUUCAAUCUACACCUAUCUCAGGUUUUGUCUGUCUCUCUCUGCCUUUCUCACGCAGUCUCUUUCUCGACUUUCACUCUUUUCAUAUUCGUAUCUCCCAAUCCCAACAACCUCGAUAUCUCUCUCGUCUCAAACCACGGUACCACCAUCAUCUUGUGUCAACUCUCGACUCUUUCCCACCACCUGCACUUGACGGUCCUGACUCCUGACCACCAUCUAUGUUCCAAAUAAGGUAUGCAGUUAGGGAUUUAAGAUUGAAAUAAAUUGGGGUUUUCUAGAUUUAGGGAUUUGAAUUUGAAUUUAGAGAUUUGGAUUUCGUCAAUUCUGGAAUCAAAUGUUAAUUAUAAUUUGUUUAAUUUUUGGCAAUUUGAGUGCAAAAUUAGGGUAAUUAGUGCUGUAGUUUUGUUUUAGUUUCUGUCAUCUGUCAGUACAAAAUCACGGCUUUUAAUUUUCAGUUUACAAGUCAUCAUAAGGAAUAGAUAAUUCUAGAAUUAUAGUGCAAACUCUUGAUUUUCAGUUUUAGACUUGGUUAUGUUUCAAAAUUCUGAAUAGUUUUAAUUAUGGUGUUGGGGAUUUGUUAAUUUUGCUCUCUCUCUCUCUCUUUAUGAUUUGGUUGGGAUUGCAGAGUGACUUGUGUUUCUUUGUAUGCACGCCCCGGACAUCCAGGUCACAUGGGGUAACUCAGCAAGGUUCUACUUUUGCAAAGGAGAUGGAGUUGUUACAGACUUAUAGUGAUACUGCAAUCCAAAUAAUCUGUUUUGAAAAUCCAAAUAAUCUGUGAGUAUGUUGUAGUAGUAGAAUAACACUGUGGGGCUUUAGCCUAGUACUUCAAUUAUUGACUUUGUUGCUUAGCCUAGUACUCUGUGAGUCUGUUAUAGUAGUAGUGUAGUACUUUGUUUAGUUUGUACUAUUGGAUAUUGGAUAAAAAUGAUAAUUUGAUUGAGUUCCUUUGGUAUGAUUUAUAUUCACUUAUUUAUUCUAUUUCUUUUUACUAUUUUUCAGGUAGCAUUCAAGUCUUUGGUGAAUUUUUAAAUGAAGAGGUUGCAAAUGCAACGGUAACGAGUGGAAAAGUUUAUACUUAAUUUUAUUAGUAUUAAAGUCUUUAUCAAUUUCUCAGUUAACAUUUUGUUUUGACUAGCUCUUAACUUACCAAUCGAAUCCAUCUCCUUUGACUAGCUAGAGUAUCUUGGUUGGGAAUUCUAUCCAUUCCCAGCGCCUAGUUUCCAAAGACGAAGUUGAGACAGGUUGGGAACUCUCUCUUUCUCUCCUUUUGUUUUAGUUCCCAAUAAAGUUGAUUGGAUUGAAGAAAAUAGAACAAUAUGAUUAUUAAUGAAAUUAUUGUAUUAUAGUAAAUGUGUAAUUUUGUCGAUUCUUUUAUAUAUAUAUAUAUAUAUAUAUUUAUAUAUUAAAAAUUAAAAUUAAAAUAAAUGUAAGUUACUGUAUGCAAAAUCAGCAGUAAUUGUUAAUGCUAGUCUUCGUUUACGAUGAACGACGUAUGCCGUAAUUGGUUUCACAGUGUUACGACACUCAACAAACGCGGUAUCAAAUAUAAAUUACGGCACACAGGCAUGCCGUAAUUGUUUUUGCAAUAUUAUGACACUUCAUUAACGUUGUAUCUAAUACCAAUUAAGACGCGCAACGCACGCCUUAAAGGGCAUUUACGACGUGUUUUGCUUAAAUUAUUCAUGGCUACUAGAGAACGUUUUUUUACAAAAACAUAUUUUACGGCAGGGGUUUUUACUGCUUGGGGACUCACGCCAUGAAUAAUUGUUUACAACGCUCUUUGUGCGCCGCAAAAGACCAAUCCUGUUAUGUAACAAAUGCUCAUUUUUCUUUUGCACUCUUUUAUGAAUUUCAUUUGGAUGGGAAUGGUUAGGUGACAUUACUUGUUACACCAAAAAAGGUCUGGUUUUGGUAUAAAAGCUUAACUGCAAAAAGGCAUCUGAAAGGUUUCGUUUAGCUACUAAGAAAGUUUGGGAGGGGCCAAACGUCUUAGGUUGAGAUUACAUAUACAAGGGUGUUAGAUUUACAUAAUGGGUUUACAUAAUGAGUUGUUGAUGACUACAUACGCAUUGAGAAUUUAGCUUUUGUCUUUGUGUCUGAUGAGGUAGUGGUUUUUUUUUUUUUUUUUUUUUUGGUGUCAUUCCAUUUUAAUCUUAGUUCCAUUUAAAUGAAGACAUUUGAAGAACCUAAUGUAAAACAUCCGUACAAGCAAAACACAUCUUAGCAACGCCAAUAAAAUCAUCUACGAGAGUUGAUCCAAUCCAGGCAGGCCGCAUUGGCGGGGGGGGGGGGGGGUUAUUGAAGACAAAGUUGCCGAGAUCCAUAUUAAAACUCCAAUUUUGCAACUGAUGAGCAACACAAUUCCGCUCCUUGGAAACAUGCUUCAUGCUUCAGGUCAGCUCACAUCUAACCAAUUGACUCAUCAAUGUUUUGCAUCUACUCACAAUUGUAUCAAGAGGAUAAUAGCUCUCAACCAAAUUUUGUUAGAACAAAGUGACAGCAAACACCUUUGUCAAUAAAAUUUCUGUGUCCCAAAUUGACAGAGAACUCCACCUGCACCAAUCUUGAACCAUCAAUAUUAUACCAACGAAUAUUAGGAGGUUCCCAAGCAAUGGGAGCAGCCUUCUAUUAGGUUUAUGGGGGAGAACCAACUCAAGCUUUCACCCAGUUCUUGACAUUUUGCGUGUUUACUAACAAGCAUGGAAUCUGAAGGGCUAGUUGAUUCGUAACUCAAUACUUGAAAAUUAGGAAUCAAAUCAAAAUGUUUAUUUUUUAUUGAUAACACAUUUGCAUAUUUAGUUUAAAAUUUUGGUUACCUGUAUUAUCCUAAUGCAAAUAUCUUUUGACAAAUAAAAAAUACAUACAAUGAUAAUUUUGAGUGGUGAUAUCCACACUAGGGGUGCAACUUGAGUUAGGCCAAUCCGAACUCGCACAUGUCCAACUCGACUUUAAACCCGAACAAGAAGGUUUUUUUUUUUUAAGUUAUAACCCGCCCGAACGUAACCCAUUUCAACUCGUUCAUUGAUUGGGUUAAGUUGGGUUGAUCAUUUGUGUGAAAUUCUGUUCCUAGAUUUCACUGUUAUAAUCUACGUAUUUGUAUUAUUGAGAUUUUAGAUUAUUUCUCGAGAAUUUACUUUAAUUUGUUUGAAUUUAGAUUUUAAUUAAACUAGUUACGAAGUUUGAAGUUUAGAAAUUAAUUAUUUAAAAUCAUAGACUUUUCGAGGUUAUAAUUUAUAUCUUCAAAUAGAUCUCCAAAGCACGAACGCAUAGGUGAAAGCCGUUUGCAAGUCCGGAUUAUAACGGUAUAGUUACGGACAUUUGAAGUUGUUUUACUAAAUUAUAGAUUUUAAAUUUAUUUUAAAACUCCCACCUUGUGGGAAAGGGACCAUUGAGAUAAAAGGGUGAGGGACCAAUUAGAAAGGAGGGAUGUUUCUUAAAUAAAUAAAAAAAAAAAAGAGGGAGGAGGUCUGAUUCUAACCCGUUUUGGGGGGAGAUUGGACUCGUUAACCCACCAACUUGACCCACUUGUAUCUCCUCUGUUCGAGCUUCGUUUUGGGUGAUCUUGGUGUCCAUGGAAAGCUCUUGACGAGCCCUACAUCUCUGUAGUGUUAGAUUUCCCAUUUUCUUUUCCAUCUUUGCAGUUCGAAGCCACAAAGCUCACGACUUUUUCGGCGAUUUUAUCAUUUUUCUGGUGAUUCCGGCAACCAUUUCCUUUGAUUGAGGUAUGAAACUUCAUCUACUCUUCAUAAUCUUCAAGUUGGUAUGCUUAGUUUGUGCUUUUGUAUUCAUUUUAGAGUUAGGUGUUUAGAACCCUAGAAAUCCGGUUUUCUUCGAUGAAUUUGGACGGUUUCCGGUUAGAAUUUAUUGUCGGCCUAGAUGUGAAGUGUUUCCUUUGUUGAGCUCUAGCUACCACGUAAAUUUGAGCUCACUUAGUUAAUGUUGAAAAUUCAGGUUUUCUAAACCCUCCACCUUGGCUACCACCACGUGUGGCGGUGCGUGGGACGGUCUACGAGUAUUGUCUAAGUACCAUAUACCUUCUAGUGACCCUAUGAACCUAUGUCUAGCUCGGUUUCCUGAAAUUCAAUUGUUUGGUGUGGUGAUUAAAUUGGACCACCACUUGUUUGUGUGAUUGAUAACAAUCCGAUCGUUGGAUCGUCGUACAAUUUUGUGAGCACCCUAGUUAUCAGUUGUUGGACCUUUGAGAACUUAUAGAUCGGAAAUCCAAUGUGCAAAUCUUCCGGAUUGAAUAACCUUAGAUUGUUGACCUUAAUGGACCUACCUUAUCGACGGUUGACGUUCUAGUCAACGUGCUCUACUCUAGAGUGUCGUUUAUCUCUAGUUUGUUGUUGAGGCUUGAUGGAGCUUAGUUGGCUCAUUACGAUGACGUGUUGUUCCCAGUUGACGUGUGUCUCGAUAUAUGUAUUAGUGGGACCAUAUUGAGUUAUACUUGUUUAUUAAAUGUGCUUUCUAUUGAAUUGUUAUUUUUAUUUUUAGCAUUGAUCUAUGUUUAUUAAUUGUGAAUCGACUGUAGCUUGGAAACGUUUAUGAAAUGUGGUUAGAUAUGUAUGAUUAGUAUGAUGUGUAUGAUUGUUUUUAUGACAAUGUGAACCCAGAAUCUUAUGAGAAGUAUUAUGUAGAACCUUUAUGCUUGUAUGAUAAGAUAGUGGUCAUGAGAAGUUGAUAAUGCAAGUGAUUACGAUGUAAAUCAUAGCAGAUGAGUUAAGGGUAAGUGGUUUGUGUGUUGAUCUAACUGCAUCAUGUAGCAGUGGUACAUGGAUGGUCCUGCUUGGUUAAUCCGCGUUGGGGGACCAUACUAUAUAUGGAUCGCACUUGGUUAAUCUGCGUUGGGCGAUCCUUCUGGCCAUUUAUACUUAGGGGUGAUCAUGCUUGGUUAGUCUGCAUUGGGUGAUCACUGCCUAACAGUUCUAUAGGUGUGACUCUGCUUGGUUAAUCCGCGUUUAGGGGUCACUACCUACUUGAUUAUCUUGACCCUGCUUGGUUAAUCCCUAUUGGGGACCAUACUAUAUAUGGACCGCGCUUGGUUAAUCCGCGUUGGGCGAUCCUUAUGGCCAUGUAUGCUUAGGAGUGAUCAUGCUUGGUUAAUCCGCAUUGGGUGAUCACUUCCUAACGGCUGUAGAAGUGACUCUGCUUGGUUAAUCCGCAUUGGGGGGUCACUGCCUACUUGGUUACUUCCUCAAGGGUGGCUCUGCUUGGUUAAUCCGUUUUGGGGGGCCACUUCCUGUUUGGUUACUUAUGUAGGCUUCGGCCGAACUGAGUCCCUCUAGCCCUAGUUUUUUUUGGAAUCUUGGUGGUUUGAAUAGGAAAAGUCGUGGGAUGUCUGGGUGACUCCUUCGGGGUUUUCAGCUACUUGAUUAUGAUUUCAUAAAGCAUGAUUCUAUACUCGAUGUUUAUAGAUCGGGAUCGAUGGUAUGGUUUUUAUUGAAUAUCACAUAAUUGUAUUAUUGUCACUCGCCCGAGCUUCGCAACUUAACCGAGUUCUGAUUUGCCAGUGCACCAUUCCCUUGAUGUAGGCACUGAUUUUACAGAUGACAUGUCUGGGUAGAGUACGAGAAACCGUUUGGUAUUUUGGUUCCGUUGAGUGGUUCGGAAUCCUUGCUUUUGCUUAUUCCCAUAAGAUUAGUCUAGAACCCUAGAUUCGAGUGAAUGGGAAUUACCCACAAUAGACCUUGUGAAUUUAUAUACCAUGUUAUUACUCAUAACUCAAGUAGGGAAUUAUAUAGAGUUCUCUAAUUGAAUUGGUGAAAUGGUAUGUUAUCUCAUUGGUUGAUUAAUAUAGUUAAAAGUUAAAAUCGUGCAUCUUUGAUUCAUGAAUUGAUUAAUUGACGGGAUUGUGAAAUGACGUUGGAUAUAGUUGUUAUUAAUAUGAUUAGAUUAAUUAAUGAAUGUGACUAGAGGAAAAUAUUGUGCUUGGUUGAUCCUUUGAUAUGUUACAUGCUUGGAUUGCGAUAUUAUGUUGAAAACAUAGUGAUUUAUAUGAUGGGUGGAAUGGAAACCUUGAAUGUCAUGUGAGUUUGUUAUGUAGGCCUAAACCUAGUAAUUUCAUGCUUGUUAAUUCUAACAAUUGAUUGAGAAAUGCUAUGCUUUUUGAUUUGACGUACUGUGAUAAAAGUCGGUGUGUAGUGAAUGACGAACUACGAAUGGCUUGAUCCCUAUUUAGGGUACGUAGGCAGUCUAACGAGGAAGUUAGAUGCAACCAUAAAAUGUACGAAAAAUGCUAUGAAAUUUGAAUCUUGAUCUAUACUUUGUACAUAUCCCGGAGGCGGGGUAUGUUAGAUAUACGGGUAUUUGGUGAUGUCACGUGUCGAUCCUGGAUGUAUGUUGGGAUCGGGGCGUGACAAUUUGCCCGUCCAUCUCCAACCCGAUUAAUUAAACCCAAUCUAACAAGAUUGUAAAUCAUAUCAAUUUAUGCUCAUACUACAUCCAAGUGGGCCAAGUCCAAAAAUAAGAAACUUUGAUUAGUUAGCUCAUAUUCAUAAUCUCUAAAUCCUAAAGCUUUAUAAUCAUUAGUCUCCAAAACCUAAAUUCUUUGUGUUUCGAAGCAAUUGCUCAUCAACUUUGAUUUAUUUAUGAAAUUAAAGUUAACUAGCUUUGAUGCUACUUGGCUUAAUUUUUUUAGGAAUUCUUGCAAACUAAGUUAUUACAAUAUUACACUCAAAAUAGUUGGGCAACCCCGAACCCAACCAAGUAAACCCGAACCCAAUUAAACCCGAGCCCAAAUGAACCCGAAUGAAACUCAACCCAAGCCUGAAUUGUAAAAAUUGGGUUAGGAUUGGGUUGACCUUCCAACCCGUCCAACCAGCCCGAGUUGCACCGCUAAUCUAUACACUCAUUUUUACUUUUCACACACCUCUAUUAUUUCCUGACUGUCGAUCAAUUGAAACAGUCAAAUGACAUAAAUUAAUAAGUGAUGUGUGAGAAGUAGAAAUAAGUGUGCGAAGAUGCAACAAAACUAAACAGAUACCCAAAAAUACCACAACACAGAGUCGGUCAGUACAUUUCAGUUGCAAAUGAAAAUUAUAAACACUGGGAUUUGCUCUCUCUAUCGCUAAGAGAUUCUCUGUGAUCGAUAGCAAUGGCGGACAAUGGCAGUCGUCUGCAAAUGCACAACAGCGAGGAGGAGCUUCUUCUGCUUCAGAGAAGUCAGUUUCGACGACAAGCCCGACCACCGAAACCUCCUCCGAAACGUUUCGACUCUUCCCGUCUUUAAAAAAGGCCUCUUCACUCGCUGCAGCCCAUCCCUUGCCGGAAACAGUAUUCUCAGGUUUAUCUCACACAAUUACGUUUUUUUUUCCGUUUUCUUUUUAGUUGCACUGUCUGUUUGGUUCCCGAGAAAACGCAGGAAAAUUUAUAAAGUUUUGAGCUUCUGUAGGGUUUACUGAAGUGAAUACUUGACUAGGUUCAGUUGGGUUGCUGAUGAAUUCAAACAAUGAAAUUUAGACGUGAAUGCUUUUAAUUGAUUUGAAGAGAAGUUUCUGAGCUAGUUUAUUGCUUUUGAAUGUUCAAAUUGGAUCGUAUAAAUGUGUCUCUGUGAUAAUUAGAUGAUUUGUUGCUUGCAGUAUGGAUGCACGAGAGAAUUCGAGGUCCUCGAUAUUGUCAUCAUCCCUAGAUAAGAGAAUUCCCAUAUAUGUGAUGAUGCCUAUUGAUGCCUUCUGCAUUGAUGGUACGGGGCGUCCAAGGAUUAGGAAGUAAGUUUUAUUAUGACUGUCUGUUGAUGAGGCUAUGAUGCAUUUUCAUUCUUAAUUUAAUUGUUAUACUCUUUUAAACGACGGAGUUUGAUUAGCUACAAGGUUGUAGCUAACUAUUUUGAUCUCUUCCCAAUUCAAGUUAUAUAUACGUACGUUUCAAAAUGGUUCUAAAUUUAUUUAUUUUUAAUUUAGUUUCCUUUCAAGUGAGACAGAAUCUCCUUAUAUAUUGCUCGAUUUAUUGUUGUUUCAGAAUCAAGGCCUUAACUGUAGCUCUAAAAAGCACUCAAGUUGGCAGGUGUCCACGGAAUUGCAGUUGAGGUUUGGUGGGGAAUCGUAGAGCGUUUCUCUCCUCUUGCAUAUGAUUGGUCUCUAUAUGAAGGGCUUUUCUAACUGAUUUCUGACUCAGGUUUGAAGUUGCAUGUUGCCUUGUCUUUUCACUCAAAUGUUAACUCUUCUUCUAGCAGAAAAGGGGGUGUAACUCUUCCGCCUUGGAUCAUAGAGGUUUGUUUUCUCUGCAAUUUUGAAAUCCCAUUUGACUGUUUGGCCUUUAUUGGUAAAGUGCACAUGGCAGUACUGGAAUGCUUAAUUUACCCAGUCAUACUCUAUUGUGACAAGAGUAUGAACUUUUCUUCAGUUUCCUGCUCUGCAACAUGCUAUGGUCCUGUGUUCCCCAUUAGCAUACUUGAUUUUAGCUUUGAUGUGCAUAAAAAGUUUAUCUUUGCAAAGGGAUGUAACAUAAAAACGAUAGUUUGGCCUUCAUAACAUGCCCAUCAGUUUGAAUCCUGAAUUUAGAUAAAGAAGUUGACUUCUUCUGUUUUUUUUCCUCCCAGAUUGGUGAUCAGAAUAAGCAUAUAUAUUAGGGGGACCAAAAUGGAUUUUCCAAUGAUGAUUAUCUUACACUCGGAGUUGACCAUGUUCCUCUCUUUUGCGGCUGGACUGCUCUCCAAUGAUAUGAAGAUUUCUUGUCAAGUUUUGCUAAGAAAUUUGAAUCCUUAAUUGGUACUGUGAUAGAAGAAAUUAGUGUUGGUCUUGGUCCUUUUGGUGGACUUAAGUAUGUUACUGUUACACUAGAACCACAAGUAUGAAGCCAGUCCAAUGAUUUCUUAUGCAACAUUGUUACAUUGCUCACACAGAUAUCCUGCACAUCCUUUUGGUGAUGGUAGAUGGAAGUUUCCUGGAAUCGGUGAAUUCCAGUGCUAUGACAAGUGCAUAAAAGGUCGUACCCAGUGCACAAGGCUCCCGCUUUACGCAAGGUCUGGGAGAGGUGAAUGUCGGCUAGCCUUACCCCCAUUUAUGAAGAGGCUGCUCCCAAGUCUCGAACCCGAGACCUACCGCUCAUGGGCGAAGGCACUUGCCAUCGCACCAAGUGCGACCUCUGCUAUGACAAGUGCAUGUAUGCUAAAAAUCUUUCAUUCCUGUGACAGAAAUUUGGAUGCUAUUGAACUUUUCCUAUUUACAACGUUGUUCCUUUUCGGAUGGGCGACCUAAAGAUGGCUGCAGGCAAGGAAGGAAAGCCUCAGUUGGGAGAGAAGGGACCACAAAAUGCUGGCUGUUACAAAGUCUCCCAUCUGAAGUUCCAUUCUUUGAAGAGGGAGAGGAAAGCAUUCUUUCUGAUUAUGGGUGUUUUUUCCUUGUAUGAAACUGAUGGACGCAGCUUGCUUUAUUAUUUCCCAUGAAAAAUUUCUGCAUAACUGAAGCCUAGUGUAAAGUGCACGAAAUCAUUGUUUGUAUUUCAUCCUCGAACUACCACAUUGUUUCUUUAGCCAGGAAACACUUCUGUGUAGGUGCCUGUAAACAAUGCCUGCAAUAUAUAUUUUCAAUCUUUAGUGGAACUUUUCUUAAAACUAACUCUAUUUGCUUCUAGGGGUUAUACUUGCAGACUGUUUGCUACUGGAGUCUUAAAUACUCUUACGCAACAUGAUUAAAAGUAGAUGUGUUUUAAUGAUUUAAUAUGAAGUCAUGACAAUGGAAUGGGUUCUUAAGACACUGCACUAGGUUAGAUGCAAUUUGAUUAAGAAUGAAAUGCAUUGAUGCUUGUCUUCUGGAAAGAAAAAAAAUCGUCAUAGGAUGUACUGGUUAGUAAACUAAGGACAAUUAUGGAUGUAUAAGUGGAAAUUUAAAUCAUGUCUGGUUCUUUAUCAUGCAAUACUUGGCAUAACAUAAUUAAACUUAUUGGAAAACAAUGUGGAGCUUAGGAGAUCUGACAGUGGCUUGACUUGUUGUAGGAAUGGUACAGUGGUCGGUUGCUCCAUCAUGCAGAUGAUAGUCAUGCAAAGGCAGCUAACAUUCUGAAGAAAUAUCAAGAAUAGAAGCAAACUUCUAUUCUAUUGGCAGCUAAAAUUGGUGGUACCAGACGAGAGCACACCCUGCUCAAUUGACAGCUUGAUACUACAACAGUGCUCUUAGAGAUGGUUAUGAUCAUGUAGCUUCAAUUUUGUCUCGUCAUGCUGCUUUGCAUGUUUCGUAAGAUUCCAAGUUUUAAGGUUUUGACUGGAAUUUUGUUCAUUGUCUAACCUGAUAAUUAAGGUUGCUUACACAUUCGCUUGAUUUCAAAUGUAUCUAUUCUACCAUGUUCACGUACUAAAUAUUUUAUUGCAGCAGCUUAAAAAUGAUGGAUGGUGAUAACCCGGCAUCCUAUCUUUGCAGUCCAGAAGGAUUACUCCAACAAGUACGGGGCCUGUUAAUUAAUAACGCUUCCUUAGCUUGUUGCUUUGUUGGUACUUUUUUUUAACUUACUUUAGAAAUUUUAUCCGUAUAAUUCAAGCUUUUGAGUUAGGUAGGACUAACCCAUGCAGCUGUGCUUGUCACAGCAGGUCGUGCAGGGUCUCUAGGUUCAACAUGGGCUUGGAACGGGCCAAUAUGAGCUUUUUCAGUAUUACAGAUAUUGGGUAUUAUUGAUCUGUUUUUUAGGCUUCUUUUAGUAUCUUAUAAUUCAUUCUGAAGUAAAUCUUUAGUUUUAAUUGGGUUGUCUUGCCCAGAUAAUAAAGAAGAAACAUAUGACAAGUUGAUCAAUAACCAUUUUUCUAUUUUAUUGAAGUUUGGAAUACAAUUGAUAAUUUGAUAUUACUAAACAACAAAAAUAGAAUUGCAUCACUAUACCGUAUAUUAGUGUUGUACUACUUUAGAUUGGCAUGGUCUGUCCAUUUACCCCUGUGGGUGGUGGUAGUGCCUAGUGGUGGCUUCUGUUGUCUACAAUUCUAUCAGUCAAUUGGUUUCUUCGAUAAAAUGUCUGGCCUUAUGCUUUGUUUAUUGGGUAUAUAUCAUAUUAUACAAUUCCAAUGUAGUCUAACAUGAUUCGAUUUGCACCAGAUAUGGAGUGUUUCAAAGAAAAGGGUACAUUUGAUCGGUAGAAAUACCAAUGAAGGAUUUGACAGGGUAAGUUCUUCCUUUCCUCAAGAGCAAAAAAUUUCAGCUACCAUUUAUUUCUAUUAGACAUAUAUUGGAUAUUGCAAAUGUCUUAUAACUAGAAACACAUGGCUUCUGAUAGGCUGAUAGCGUUAGUUAAACACUUCUUCUUUUGCCCAUUCUGCGUUGCUUGUUCACACGUCUGCUUUUCUCUUGCACGUUGGUUUAUGGCAAAUACAUACUAACUAUUACCAUUCCCAGGCCGAAGCUGUAAGAUCAUUUACAUAUUUCCGAAUGAAUGAUAAGAUCUUUAGGCCUGAAAAUUGGAGUAAUUUCGUUCCUUUUGUUAAAAAGAUGAGCACAAAUUGGUGAAGCAGCCAAAAAACCCAACUUAAAUAGUAAAUUUAUUGAUCUAGAGUAGCAGCUUCACUGCCCUAUAAUUUUUUGUCAAGGGCAUGUGUAGAAGUUUAGAAGUUUGUCACUUCCUGAUAUAUUGACUGAAAUAACUGUGUUUCCAUGACAGGCGUUCUUGACCUGGAAGUGUAAAUUUUUGAAACGGAUUUGGUUGGCCGUACAAACUAAACGCUUUACUAUCAAAAUAUGAGAAGAAUAAUCGGAAUUGCAAUCUUGGUACUACUGGUCAAAUACAGGUACAACAUUUCACCUUAAGGAAUAUCCACAUCCUGUCAUAUCUGUCACUAUACAAAAAUAAUGUAGUCUUUGCAGAUUGAAAACAACAAUAAGAAAAUGGAUCCGAAAAUAUAGAGAACGAAAAGAACUAAGAGUUCACUCCUUCACAGUCCUUCAAAUACUUCGUCUUGAUUUUGGUGAGUGUGAUUGCAACAUCUUUCAUGUUAAUCCUCGCUCUCGGCAAUGCUGCAGUGCAAGCUAGAGCUAAUCUCAUAACGGAUGAUAAGCAAUCCCUCCUGCUCACGAAAUCACCAUCUUCCUCCGUCCCAAGUAUAUCGGCAUCCAUAACUUCAUCUAUAGCAGCAUCUGGAAAUAAUGAAUCUGCAAUCCAUUGCUUUAAAUUCAUUUCCCCAACGAACAUCUUGUCUGUUGGCUUCCUUUUUGUGAAUGUCUCCAUGAGUAAAAUACCAAAACUAUACACAUCCCCACUCGUCGAAAUGCUUCCUUCGAUCCCAAACUCUGCAAAAUUUGUAUGUUAAUUUAGUUAUAUAUGAUAAAAAGAAAAUUAUAACUCCUAAUAAGACCAACAUAUUCAAAAUUGAGAAAAUACAUCACCUGGAGCCAUAUAUCCAACUGUGGCUAGAGUCAUGGUUUUUGUCAUCGAAUAUCCACCGCCGAUGAGUCUUGCAAUGCCAAAAUCAGCAACAUGUGCAACCAUAUCAUCAUCUAGUAGUAUAUUGCUUGGUUUCACAUCACAAUGAACGAUAGGUAUCUUGUAACCAUGAUGAAGAUAUUCUAGUGCCAAUGCAACAUCUUUCAUUAUGUCUAACCUCUGCAGGAUAGUAGUGGAGCAGUUUGGAGAAUACAAUCACUUUUCGAGGCUUCCAUUAGGCAUCAAUUGAAGUAUCAGGGUUUUGAAAUCAAGUUCAUCACAGCAACUUAUGAUUUUAAUAAGAUUCCGAUGACGGAUAUUGCUUAGCAUUUCACAUUCCUUAUCAAAACUCUUGAAUGCCCCUUCUAGCUGUAAAUUGAAAACCUUGACGGCGAUAUCUAUCCCAUCUGAAAGUGUUCCUUUGUAUACUGAGCCAAAACCCCCCGUGCCAAGUGAGUUAGUCUCAUGAAAUCCAGUUGUCGUCUUUACAAGUUCUAGGCGCGAAACUCUUCUCCAAGGAACUUGAAUUAGUGAGGCAGUUUCUCUUACAACUUCAACAUUCCUUUUCCUGCCUAGUAUCAGAAUUAGUGCAGCAGCUGCUAAGAGUAUUACUGACAUGACCCUAGAGAUGAUAUAUUUAGCUUUCCUCCAAUUUGGCUUAACUUCUGUUUUAUAUAUGCACAAUGGAACGUGGAGUUGGGAAGCACCGCAGAGCGCAUCGUUUGAUACAAAUGAAUCAGCAAAGAAGUUUCCGAAAGGCCCGCCUGUUGGAAUUUCUCCUUGGAGUUUGUUGAAAGACAAAUUCAGAUGCUUGAGAUACAAGAGUGCUUCCAAUGACUUUGGGAUCACUCCAGAUAGAUUGUUUUUGGACAAAUCCAAGAAUUCUAGGCUCAGCAAGGUUUUCAAUGAAGUGGGAAUAGGGCCUUCUAAAUAAUUGUUUGCCAAGGACAGAUUAAUCAUAUUUUGAAGACCACCAAUGCUACUGGGAAUGUUUCCGGAGAAAUGGUUAUUUGACAAGUCCAUAUUCAGCACAUUUUUCAACUUUUCGAUGUCUUCCGAGAGUGGUCCAACUAGAUAAUUGGAUGACAAGUUUAGGUGCAAUAUAUACUUAAGUUCCCACAAGGAAGAUGGUACUUUAGAAGUUAAGAAAUUGGACCCUAACAAUAAUUUUCUUAGAGCUACUGCCAAAGUACCCAAGCAGGAAGGAAUAGAACCAGAGAGACGAUUACCAUCCAAAAGUAUCUCUGCUAGGUUGUUUAGUUGAUAGAGUUCAUAUGGGAUAUGUCCUUGCAGUUCGUUAUCAUUCAAAUACAAAGCUUGAAGAUUUUGUAGCCUUUGUAUUGAACCUGGAAUUGCUCCACUCAACUGAUUGUUUCCCAGGUUUAACGAUAUCAAGCUGCUCAAGUUGCCAAUAUCUACUGGAAUGUUGCCCCUGAUGUUGGAACUCAUUAAACCCACAUAUAGGAGUGAUGUAGAGAGAUUCCUGUGAGAAGCUGGAAUCGUGGUGUUUAGUGGAUUGUCUCCCAAGGAUAAUCUUGUCAAAUUUCUAAGAUUAAACAAGCAGGAGAGGGUGCUUGCUGUUUGUGGAGUAGAAGCAUCAUUUGUCAAACUAUUCGAGAACAAGGAAAGAAACUUGAGGUUUUUCAAGGAACAGAGCGUGCUUGGAAGAAACCCGGUAAAUGAGUUUGUGUUCAUGUCUAGCACCCUGAGCUUGGAAGCAUUGGAGAGGUUAGGGAGUAGUCCGGACACGAGGUUAUUUGCGGCUACACCAAGGAAUUCUAGGUUUGGAGCGUUAAGAGUUAUGUUUGCUGGGAGGCUACCUGAGAGAUGAUUAUAAGAAAGAAAUAUUAUUCUUAUCAUGGAGAGAUUGAAGAGUUUGGAUGGGAUGACGCCAUUGAGAUUAUUAAUACCUAGUGACAAAGCCUCUAACUGUGGAAAAUCACCAAUCUCAUCUGGUAUUGCACCUGCCAUAAUUUCAACACGUUUGCAUUAAAUUUUUAACUUCAGUUUAACUAAAAACUAAAAACGAAAUGAUUAUCAAAUAGUCUUAAAUUUACUACCUGUUAAAUUAUUGUCAGCAAGAUAAAUCUCGGUUAAGUAGGUCAAAUUGCCAAGACUUUUGGGUAUGCUUCCACGGAAAUUGCCAAGACUUUUGGGUAAUUUAGUAAUUACAUGAACAUAAAUUUUGUUGUUAUUUAGGGCAACCUCCAGCCAGGUCACCAUAGCAUGCCAUAUUUAAAAUUUAAAAAUAAAAUAAAAUAGUAAAUAAAAAACAUGCCUACUUUAAAAGAAACUGCUCAUCAUUUUUCCAUUUUUUUAUAAGGGGUGUGUUAUCCACACAUCCAUUUUUACUUCUCACACACCUCUUGUUAAUUUAUGUCCGUUGAUCUUCUUCAUUUCAUCCGAUCUGAUGGCCAAAAAUUAGAAGGGUGUGUGAAAAGUAGAAAGGGGUGUGUGGAUAUCACAACCCUUUUUAUAAUUGAUAUAUUUUUUUAGAAUUUUUAAAACUAAUCACACUUCACAGUAAAAAAAAAAAAAAAUGAAAUGAAAUUAUUCACACUGUGUUAUGUUGCCUAUUUCUCUGGGUAUGUUACCUGUUAUGUGCAUGCAUUCCAACAAAAAGGAAGGAAAAAAAAAAACAAACGAGAUGAUUGUUAUACAUCUUAUAUAUAGAUGUUAAAAUGAAGCAAAGAUGUUAAAUGUUAUCAUGAAGCAAGCAACAUUAAUUUAUAUUCCUAGGUGGUUGGUAAUGGUGCUACAUACGUACCUGAUAGUUGGUUACUACUCAGAACAAUUUUUUCGAGUGCAGAUAAGUUGCCUAUUUCUCUGGGUAUGCUACCUGUUAAAUAUGUGCAUGCAUGCCAACAAAAAAGAAGGGAAAAAAAAAACAAACGAGAUGAUUGUUAUACAUUUUAUAAUAUAGAUGUUAAAAUGUAACAAAGAUGUUGAAUGUAAUGAAGCAAGCAACACUAAUGUAUAUGCCUAGGUGGUUGGUAAUGGUGCUACCUACGUACCUGAUAAUUGGUUAUUACUCAGACCAAUUAUUUCGAGUGCAGAUAAGUUGCCUAUUUCUCUGGGUAUGCUACCUGUUAAAUAUGUGCAUGCAUUCCAACAAAAAAGAAGGAAAAAAAAAAUGAGAUGAUUGUUAUACAUCUUAUAUAUAGAUGUUAAAAUGAAACAAAGAUGUUACCUGUUAAAUUAUUGUUAUGAAGAUAAAUCUCGGUUAAGUAGGUCAAAUUGCCAAGACUUUUGGGUAUGCUUCCACGGAAAUUGUUAUACCCUAAUUUCAAUUCACGAAGCUCUUUGCAUAGCCACAGUUUGGAGGGAAUAAGACCGUCAAACUGGUUUUGACCCAAAUUAAUUAUUUGAACACUCGAAAGAUGCUCACAUAUAUUGUCCGGAAGAUUGCCACUCAUGUUGUUCCCGAAUAGAACCAAAGCAGUCAAAGAAGAUAUGUUGAGGACAGGCACAAAAGCAGAGCCUUUUAGGGCAUUGUGCUGCACAAACAACUCCUCCAACUGACCUAAACUGCCCAUCUCGUUUGGAAGUUCUAUAAAAUAAAUUCGUAUAUAUAUUAAAAUCAUGUAUAGACAUAGGAGCAGCUUAUUAGUAGAAAUCCCGUUGUACUGUAGCAAAAGAGGGAUAACAUUAUAAGGAUCAUGUACUCACUAUAUAGGACCUCUUUUUUGCUCCCGAAUACGAGGGUCUUACACAGUAAAUAUACAAUCCUACGAUAGUUCUCUCAUCUCAUUUUUCGCUAAAGUGGAACGAGAUCCCUGCUAAGAAGGGCCUUGUAUGUAUAGAUGUAAUAAAACCGAAGUCAUACAGUAUACCUUCGAACUUCUUGUCGUCAAGGUAUAUCCCCUUCAGCAUUGUUAAGUUGCCUAUUUCUCUGGGUAUGCUACCUGUUAAAUAUGUGCAUCCAUUCCAACAAAAAAGAAAGAAAAAAAAAUUUGAUGCUUGUUAUACAUCUUAUAUAUAGAUGUUAAAAUGUAAUCAUGAAGCAAGCAACAUUAAUGGUGGUACGUACGUACCUGAUAGUUGGUUCCUGCUCAGAUUAAUUAUUCGAGUGCAGAUAAGUUGAAGAUAGCAGCGGGUAUGAAACCAGAGAAGCCAUUACCGUACAAUUUGAUGGUUUGAAGUUUAGGAAAGGACCCAAACCACAAAGGAAUGGUUCCCAUAAAGCUAUUGUUUCCAAAGUUAAUCGCCUUCAACCGGCGCAAAAGUGAGAUUGUAUGAACAAUUUUACACCUAGAAACAUGAACCACACAGAAUCACAACUGAUUUAACAAUGAAAAAGUAUAUAAGAAAAUACACUAUCAAUAGGCUAAAACACUCUUUUAAUUGAUCUACCAAUAGCCUAAUAGGAUUAACUAAACCAUUAGAGACUGCAACAAUGAGAAAGUCUGAAGAUUAAAGUUCAAGUUGAAUGUCUUUGAACCCCUAGGUGUUGGAAACAUUUUCAGUAAAUUUGUUCAGGAAAAUAUAAAAACUCGUGAUGCAAUUCCAUUGUUUGGGAUAGCAGAUAUUUACCUAGAAUCCAACCUUAAGCUAACAUUUUUCAUAAGUUUAUUCUUUUCAUUAACUACAAUGGAAUUUAUAAAACAAUUUUAGAAAAACUCGAGUCUAGAUAAUGGACUUUUGUUCCGGUUUAAAAUUUUUUGACUUGUGUUCUAAGCAACAUAAUGUAUUCACAUUUCAAUUGUCAAAGGCAUCGCAAUAAUCCCCAAAUGAAGAUAUUAAAAAUCAUAACUUCUUCUCCAAGUUUUCAUUCAGUUUAUUUCACUUGACCAUCAGAAUUUUAUUCAAAGAAGAUUAAAUAAAGAAAAUAGCAUGCCAAAGAUUAAAAUGAGAAAGUAUAUAAAAAAAUACACUAUCAAUAGGCUAAAACACUCUUUUAAUUGAUCUACCAAUAGCCUAAUAGGAUUAACUACACCAUUAGAGACUGCAACAAUGAGAAAGUCUGAAGAUUAAAGUUCAAGUUGAAUGUCUAUGAACCCCUAGGUGUUGGAAAC